rnacentral:lncRNA from 1 species
UGGCAAUCAGGUGCCCACCUGGAGAACAAUGGAAUACAAUUUAAUUUUUUAGAAAUCAGGCGCCCACCUGGAGAACAAGGAAUACAGUUCAAGUUUUUGGCAAUCACGCGCUCACCUGAAGAACAAGGGAAUAUAGUUCAAGUUCUUGGCAGUCAGGCGCCCACCUGGAGAACAAGGGAAUACUAUUCAAAUUUUUGGAAAUCAGGUUCCCACAUGGAGAAUAAGAAAAUACAGUUCAAGUUUUUGGCAAUCAAGCUCCCACCUGGAGAACAAGGGAAUACAGUUCAAGUUUUUGGCAAUCAGGUGUCCACUUGGAGAACAACAAGGGAAUACUAUUCAAAUUUUUGGAAAUCAGGUUCCCACAUGGAGAAUAAGAGAAUACAGUUCAAGUUUUUGGCAAUCAAGCUCCCACCUGGAGAACAAGGGAAUACAGUUCAAGUUUUUGGCAAUCAGGUGCUCACCUGGAGAACAAGGGAAUAUAACUCAAUUUUCGAAAAUCAGGCGUCCACCUUGAAAAUAAGGGAAUACAGUUCAAGUUUUUGGAAAUCAAGCGCCCACCUGGAGAAUAAGGGAAUAUAGUUCAAGUUUAGGUAAUCAGGAGCUCAUCUGGAGAACAAAGAAAUUUAAGUGUCGGUAAUCAGGAGCUCACUUGAAGAAUAAAGCAGCAGUUCAAUUUUCGAGGAAAAGCAACAGAUGUGUUGGUAAUUAGGAGCCCACCUGAAUAACGAGGGGAAAUCAUCAAUGUUCGGAGGAAGACGGUUCAAGUUCAGCAAUCAGGCGCCCACCUGAAGAAAAGGGAAAGCAUCUCAGAUUAUAAUUCAAGUUGGCAACAAAGGAACUUCACCUGGAAAAUACAAAACAACAAGGCAACAGGAAUCACAAGACUAAGUUUGAGGAUGUAGAUAGGAUUUUUGUAAUGCAUAGACUGGAGUUUAGUCUAAUGUGUAAUAAGGAGUUCAGUAAGCAGUAGUAGCAGCAGCAGCAACAAUGAAAUCAUAGCUUUAUGGUAGUCCCAGCUACCGAAACUUCCCCAUAACUUGAUUUCGUUAUAGCCAAGGAUAUGUAGGCAACCUCGGGAACAAGGUGCAGUCAAAUAUUUCAAAACUACUUUCCAUGGAGUAUUCAAACAAGCAAAAAUCGCUCGUAUCUGCUCACUUUAUCUUUGCACGAAAACUCUUCGUAUUUUCACGCAAAGAGGGGAAGCUGUGAGCACAUGAUUGUUGCCCUAUAUGAAUUAUUCCCACAAAUUUAAAAUAAAAUAAUUAUUCCAUUGUUUGCAAAUUCGAGGAUUUUUGUAGCAUAUUUUAUUAUUGUUUUCAUUUGUUAUUGCAUGUUUAUUUUAUUUAUUAAAUAAAAAUACAAAAAUUUGUUGCAUUUGCAUUUAGAAUUUAAUUCAACAUUUUGGGAUUAAUGUCACGACCCGAAUUUGCCCACCAUGGGGAGUCGUGAUGGCGCCUACUAUCGAAGCUAGGCAAGCCAACCCUUAUAAACAUUUCCAGAAAAUUUAAAUCUAAAACAAAUUAAAUGAAAAAAUAAUUAGUUAAAACAUGCGGAAGACGUCUAAUAACAAUAACGAAAACAAUAUGCGGAAAACUAACAACCAAUCUCUACCCAAUAUCUGGUGUCAUUGCUUACGGACUACUAAUAGAGUACUAAAAACAAUAGUCUGAUCCAGUAUCUGGUGUCACUGCUCACGGACAACUAAAGAGUGCUAAAAAUAAUAGUAUGAAAGAAGUACAUAGCUUGUCUUUUUGAUACGAUUUAACAAACUGAAAGGGAAAGUUAGAGAAGACUCAGGGCCCGCGAACGCCUGCGAGCUACCUCAGAGCCUCUUGAAUGAAGGAUCACUCCUGUUCUAAAGCUGCGGUCCGUAGACUAGGUCCUGACAAGUGCACAAAAAGGCACAGAAGCAUAGUAUCAGCACAACCGACCCCAUGUGCUGGUAAGUGUCCNNNNNNNNNNNNNNNNNNNNNNNNNNNNNNNNNNNNNNNNNNNNNNNNNNNNNNNNNNNNNNNNNNNNNNNNNNNNNNNNNNNNNNNNNNNNNNNNNNNNNNNNNNNNNNAUAUACCACUCCAUCUUGUGGAGGAAAUCAAUAAAUACCACUCCAUCUUGUGGAGGAAAUCGAUAUAUACCACUCCAUCUUGUGGAGGAAAUAAAUAAAUACCACUCCAUCUUGUGGAGGAAAUCCAUAGAUACCACUCCAUCUUGCGUAGGAAAUCAAUAUAUACCGCUCCAUCUUGUGGAGGAAAUCAAUAAGUACAUGGCAUCACCCAUCGUGCUUUAUCGCUCCUCCUCACCCAAACAAUAAUCACAAUUAAUGGGAAACUGGUGGAGGAAAUCAAUGUAUACCACUCCAUCUUGUGAAGGAAAUCAAUAAGUACACAGCUUUACCCAUCGUGCUUUAUCGCUCCUCCUCACCCAAACAAUAAUCACAAAUAAUGGGAAAAUGAGUAAACAACAAGAUUAACCAUCCUGGCAAGGGAGAACAAUGCAACAACAACUCCCGGCAAGGGAAACAAUUUAACAACAAGUCACGGCAAGGGAAACGGUUUAACAACAAGUACCGGCAAGAGAAACAAUAUAACAACAAGUCCCGGCAAACGAAAAACGCCAACAACUCAUCUCUAGUUCAUUUACUUUUCAUCUUUCACUUCAUAUCCCAAUUUUUCAAUUCUUUCAAAAUUCUAAUAACAAAUGACAACACGGUUAUGCUCGACUCGGGCGCAUAGGUAACCGUCACCAUACCUAUACACCGACUCCACAUAGCACAUAGCAAUUAACACCUAAUCCUAUUCCCUCAAGCCAACGUUAGAUCAAACACUUACCUCGAAGGCUUCCAACUCUACUCACGCCUCUAGAAUAGCUUUACCCCUCGAAUUCGCUUCAAAACAGGUCCAAUCUAACUCCAAUUUACUAAAAUGUAUCAUCAAAUGCUAGUUAAGUCAAUUUGGAUGCAUAAGAAUGAAAUUCCCAAAGUUUUACUCAAAAAUUCCCAAAAUGCCCCCGGUCCCAUGUGGUCAAAACUCGAGAUUCGAACCAAACCGGGUUACCCAUUCCCCCACGAGUUCAUAUAUGCAAACCCCAAAUUGAGGUCCAAAUCCCCAAUUUUAUGAAAACCUAGGUUCUACCCCAAAUUCCCCAUUUUUAACCAUGAAAGCUUUGAUUUAAGGAUGAAAUCAUGUUAGAAUACGAUAAAGAUUGAAGAAAACUAGUAACAAUUGACCUACAUUUGGUUUGGGGACGAAACAGUUCGAGAGGAAUCGCCUAUGGUGGUUUAGGUUUUGGAAAGAUAUGAAAAAUGAGGUCUGAAUUCGUUUAACAGUUGUAGGGUUGCAGAUAUCGCAAAUGCGACAUUGAUUUCGCAUUUGCGAACUGGGCAAAAGAAAAGGGGACCUCGCAAUUGCGAGAAAUAGUUUGCAAUUGCGAACUGGGAAAAAUUGAAAGGGAACUCACAUUUGUGAGAAAACGUUCGCAAAUGCGAACUGGGAAAAAUAAAAGGGGACCUCGCAAUUACGAGAAGAAGUUCGCAAUUGCGAAUUGGGGAAAAUUGAAAGGGAACUCGCAUUUGCGAGAAAACGUUCGCAAAUGCAAACUGGGGUUGGACUAGGGAAAACUUGCAUUUGCGAAGACUGGCUAAGGAAGGGGGGAAUCACAUUUGCAAUUUUUUAUUCUCGAAUUUGCGAAGAAGCAAGCCAAGGGAAGAGCUCGCAAUUGCGAGGCGGGCUUCGCAAUUGCGAAACCUGCAGACACCAGAUGAUAAAAAUGCAACAAAAUGAGCCUAACACAUAUCCGAAACUCACCCGAGCCCUCGGGGCUCCAACCCAAACAUGCACCCAGCCUAAAAACAUCCUACUGACUUACUCGUGUGAUCAAAUCGCCAAAAUAACAUCUAAAUCAUAGAAUCAACCUCCAAAACUCAUGAUUUUCAUUUCAAGUUCAAAACUUUCAAACUUUUCCACUUUUAGUCCAAAACAUGUCAAACAACGUUCGUUUUCAACCAAACAUUACAGAUAGCGCUUAACACCCAUUUAAUAUUUGUACCGGGUGUCGGAAACAAAAAUACGAGCAUGAUACCAUAACUUUUGAUCAAUUUCCGUUUCCAGUUUUCCUUAAGCAUUUUCAAAAAUAAUUUCACCAAAAAGCUCUAUUCUCGGGCGUGGGACCUCGGAUUUAGAUUCCAGGAGACUGGCUCCCAAUUUUCAUUACGGACCCUCCUGGACCGUCACAUCACAGGUCCGGGUCCGUUUACCCAAAACAUUGACCAAAGUCAAUCAUAGCAAUAUUAGUAUCAAAAUUCAUAGUUUUUAACAUAGAGUUCAAAUAUUUUUACAUAAAAAUCUUCUGGCUUCGUGCCCGGACUGCGCAUGCUAAUCGAUGCAACCAAAUAAGAGGUUUUCAAGGCCAGAAAAGUGCAAGGAAAGGGAGAAAUACGGGGAUGACGCUUUGGGUCGUCACAUCCUCCGCCUCUAAAACAAUCAUUCGUCCUCGAACGAACAAAAGAAAGGAGUACCUGAGUCGGGGAAUAGAUGGGGAUAACGGCUCCGCAUAUCAUACUCGCACUCCCAGGUGGAUGCCUCGGGAAGGAAAACACCGCGACCUCAACUGUUGAACCUGCUGGUCUAAAAUAGCCACCAGCUCCUCCUCAUAUGACAGAUCCUUAUCCAAUUGGACAGUGCUGAAAUCUAACAUGUGGGUGGGAUCACCGUGAUAUCUCCGAAGCAUGGAUACAUGGAAAACCAGAUGUACAGCUGACAAGCUAGGCGGCAAGGCAAGUCUGUAAUCCACCUCUCCCACAUGAUCAAGAACCUCAAACGGGCCAAUAUACCUAGGGCUAAGCUUGCCCUUCUUCCUGAAUCUCAUCACGCCUUUCAUAGGCGAUACACGGAGCAAUACACGCUCACCAACCAUGAAGGCAACAUCCUUGACCUUACGGUCUGCAACACACUGCAUGGCUGACAAGCUGGGCGGCAAGUCAAGUCAGUAAGCUACCUCCCCCACACGGUCAAGAAUCUCAAACGGGCCAAUAUACCUAGGGCUAAGCUUGCCCUUCUUCCCNNNNNNNNNNNNNNNNNNNNNNNNNNNNNNNNNNNNNNNNNNNNNNNNNNNNNNNNNNNNCCUAGGGCUAAGCUUGCCCUUCUUCCCGAAUCUCAUCACGCCUUUCAUAGGCGAUACACGGAGCAAUACACGCUCACCAACCAUGAAGGCAACAUCCUUGACCUUACCGUCUGCAACACUCUUAUGCCUGGACUGAGCUGACUGAAGUUUGUCCUGAAUGAUCUUGACCUUAUCCAAGGCCUCCUGUACCAAAUCUGUACCCAAUUACCGAUCCUCUCCCGGCUAAAACCAUCCGACUGGGGACCGACGUCGCCUACCAUACAACGCCUCAUACGGGGCCAUCUGAAUACUAGACUGGUAGAUGUUGUUGUAGGCAAACUUCGCAAACAGCAAGAACUAGUCCCACGAGCCUCCAAAAUCAAUAACGCAGGCUCGGAGAAUAUCCUCAAGAAUCUGAAUGGUCCACUCGGACUGACCGUCCAUCUGGGGUGAAAUGAUGUACUCAAAUGGACCUGGGUACCCAACUCAUGUUGCACCGCUCCCCAGAAAUGCGAAGUAAACUGCGGACCCCGAUCCGAAAUAAUAGAUAUGGGCACCCCAUGAAAGCGAACGAUCUCCCUGAUAUAAAUCUCUGCAUACCUCUCGUAUGAAUAGGUGGUGGCAACUAGGAUGAAAUGCGCUGACUUAGUCAGCCUACCAACAAUAACCCACACAAGAAUAAGUGGUAGCAACCGGGAUGAAAUGCGCUGACUUAGUCAGCCUAUCAACAAUAACCCAUAUAGCAUCAAACUUCUUCCUAGUCAUCGGAAAGCCAGUAACAAAAUCCAUAGUGAUCCUCUCCCACUUCCACUCAAGAAGCUCAAUCCUCUGAAAUAACCCACCAGGCCUCUGAUGCUUGCACUUAACAUGCUGACAAUUUCGACAACGAGCCACAUAUUCAACAAUGUAUUUCUUCAUUCUACGCCACCAACAAUGUUGUUUCAAAUCCUGAUACAUCUUCUCGGCGCUCGGAUGAAUAAAAUAUUGAGAGCUGUGGGCAUCCGCUAAGAUCGACCCUCGGUACCAUCAACAUUGGGCACACAAACUCGCCCCUGCAACCUCAAUAUGCCACCAUAUCCAAAGUCAUCUCCUUGGCACCUCCCCUCUGCACCGUGUCUCUCAGGACACAUAAAUGGGGAUCAUCAAAUUGCCGCUCCCGGAUAUGCUCCAUCAAUGACGAACGAUCAACCGUGAAAGCUAACACUCUGCUGGGCCCGGAUGAAUAGAAUAUUGAGAGCUGUGGGCUUCCUCUAAGAUCGACCCUCGAAUACCAUCAACAUUGGGCACAAAAACUCGCCCCUGCAACCUCAAUAUGCCACCAUAUCCAAAGUCAUCUCCUUGGCACCUCCCCUCUGCACCGUGUCUCUCAGGACACAUAAAUGGGGAUCAUCAAAUUGCCGCUCCCGGAUAUGCUCCAUCAAUGACGAACGAUCAACCGUGAAAGCUAACACUCUGCUGGGCUCAGAAAUAUCCAAUCUCACAAAUCUAUUGGCCAUGGCCUGAACAUCCAAGGCAAGCGGUCUCUGGCUGACCGGAAUAUAUGCAGAACUACAUAUGCUGGCGGACUUUCUACUUAAUGCAUCGACCACCAUAUUUGCCUUCCCUGGGCGGUAUAAAAUUGAAACAGUAUGCAAGACUACCCAUGUUGACGCACUUUCUACUCAAUGCAUCGGCCACCACAUUGGCCUUCCCUGGGUGGUAUAAACUAGAAACAUCAUAAUCUUUCAACGACUCCAACCACCUCCACUGUCUCAAAUUCAACGCUUUCUGCUUGAACAAGUACUGAAGGCUCUUGUGAUCCGAGUACACCUCACACGUCACACCAUACAAAUAAUGCCUCCAGAUCUUCAAGGCAUGAACAAUAGCUGCCAACUCUAAGUCAUGAGGUAAUAUUUCUCGUGGAUCUUCAAUUGCCUCGACGCAUAUGCUAUGACCUUGCCGCUAUGCAUCAACACUACGCCAAGUCCGAUGCGGGAAGCGUCAUAAUAUACAGUAUAAGGCCUGGAUCCCAUUGGAAAAAUCUAUACAGGUGCCGUAGUCAAGGCUGUCUUGAGCUUUUGGAAGCUCUCCUCGCACUCAUCUGACCACCUGAACUGGGCACCCUUCUGAGUCAAUCUAGUCAUCGGGGCUGCGAUGGAUAAAAACCCCUCCAGAAAGCGUCUGUAGUAACAAGCUAACCCCAAGAAACUCCGAAUCUCUGUAGCUGAAGCUGGUCGAGGCCAGUUCUUGACUACCUCUAUUUUCUUUGGGUCCACCUGGAUACCCUCUGCUGAUACGACAUGAUCCAGGGAUGCUACGGAACUCAACCAAAAUUCGCACUUUGAAAAUUUUGCGUACAACUGACUAUCCUUCAAAGUCUGAAGAACCACUCUGAGGUGCUGCUCAUGCUCCUCCUGAAUGCGGGAGUAUAUUAGGAUGUCAUCAAUGAAAAUAAUCACGAACAAAUCCAAAUAGGGCAUGAACACUCAGUUCAUCAACUCCAUAAAUGCUGCUGGGCAUUGGUCAAUCCAAACAACAUGACCAAAAACUCAUAAUGCCCAUACCGAGUGUGAAAUGCCGUCUUAAGGACAUCAGAUGCCCUAAUCCUCAGCUGAUGAUAACCAGACCUCAAAUCUAUCUUCAAGAACACCUUAGCACCCUGAAGCUGAUCAAACAAGUCAUCAACCCUUGGCAGUGGAUACUUGUUCAUUAUCGUCACCUUGUUCAACUGCUGGUAAUCAAUGCACAUCCUCAUCGACCCGUCCUUCUUCUUCACAAACAACACUGGUGCACCCCAAGGUGAUACGUUGGGUCUAAUGAAACCCUUAUCAAGCAAAUCCUGAAGCUGUUCUUUUAACUCUUUCAACUCUAGUAGGGCCAUGCGAUACGGUGGAAUAGAAAUAGGCUGAGUGCUAUGAGCCAAAUUAAUACAGAAGUCAAUAUCCCUGUUGGGCGGCAUACCUGGCAGGUCUGAAACAAAAACCUCGGGGAACUCUCGAACAAUAAGAACAGAGUUGAUAGAUGGAACCUAUGCGGCGGAGUCGCGAACAUACGCCAAAUAUGCUAAGCAUCCUUUCUCGGCCAUAUAUUGAGCCUUGACAUACGAAAUAACACUACGGGUGGCAUGACCUAGGGUCCCUCUCCACUCAAGUCCCGGCAAGUCUGGCAAGGCCAAAGUUACAGUCUUGGCGUGACAAUCCAAGAUGGCAUGAUACGGGGACAACCAGUCAAUCCCCAAUAUAACAUCGAAGUCCACCAUGUCUAGAAGCCAUAAAUUGACACGGGUCUCAAGACCCUCAAAUACCACUACGCAAGAAUGAUGCAAUCGGUCGACCACUAUAGAAUCACCAACCGGUGUGGACACAUAUACCAGAAUACCCAAAGCCUCACUAGGUAUAAGCAAAUAGGGUGAAAAAUAGGAUGGCACAUAAGAAUAAGUAGAUCCCGGAUCAAGUAAUACCUAAGUACCCCUAUCACAGACCAGUAUUACCUGUAAUCGCAACAUCAGAUGACUUAGCGUUAGGCCUGGCUGGCAGUGCAUAACAGCUAGCUGGCACCCACCUCCCUGAACUGUGUCUCUAGGACGAUCUGCUGCGGGCUGACCCCUACCUCUGGCUGUCCGGGCUCAACCUCUGCGGUCUCUCCCUCCACCUCUAUGGCCUCUACCCCCGCCUCUAGCUGGCUGGGCAACCUCUGGAUCACCUGGUGCCUGAAUGGUAGGGCGAAGACCCUGUUGCUGAGUACUCUGAACAAGACCAAUAUGCAAGUAAUUAAAAUUAGGUCUAUAUCUAAUUAUAUCUUGCUCAUUCAACAAUUUUAUAACUUCUAAAGAGUUAAUAAUUGCAACAGUUGAUUCACAUGUUUUAAUAUUAUGUUUCAUAAUUAAAUUAAAAUGACCUAUCUGGUAGAUCUUAUGAAAAGGUUCUUCAGGGAUACUCCAGUUAUCCAAUUAGACUCAGUUAAUGCAAUCUGAGAAGUACGAGAUGUUAAGCUAAAAAUAUUCAAAAUAUUUUGAUUCAUUUCAAAAAAUUACUAUACUGGAACCAAUACUAAUGCAAAACAACAUAUCCAAACAAUAUAUCCAGAUUAUGCAAAUACAAGAAUUUCAAAAGCCAAAUUAUUAAUAAGUUUUAGAUCUAAUUAUCAAAAGUUCAUAAGGAUCUACAUGUUCUCUUGGCUUUACCUCAUCUCUCUCUAGAGUUAUCUAGGCUAGGGAACACCUAAAGGUCUCAACAAAACGCCUAACUCGGCUUACAAGGACCACAAGGACAGGCUUGCCAAUGUAUGCUCCGGGGAUUACUCGGAUACCUCACACACUUAGAGAGAAAUAAGUACCUCACACAAAGUAAAUCAAUUAUAAAACAAGAUAAAAAGAUUUAACACUUAUAAAUAAUUUAAGCAUACUUCUUCAAGUAUUUGGCAUAAUAACUUGGUCAUGGAUUUGUCUUUGCAAAAGCAUUGAGCUCCGGACAGUAUAUGUGUUUAGUUACUCAUGUUAAACACAUAAACAGCCAUCAUGGCUCUGAUACCAAAAGAUGACAUGACCGAAAAUUAAACACUUGUAAGUAUAUAAAAAUAUGAACAAAUGAAAAGAGCAUAAAAAGCCAUCAUGGCUCUGAUACCAAAAGAUGACAGGACCGAAAUUUAAACACUUGUAAGUACAUAAAAUAUUAAUUUAAACACUUGUAAGUAUAUAAAAUAUGAACAAAUGAGAAGAUGUUACUUACAAAACAAGCUUUUUAUGUAAAAGGAGAAGGCAAGGCUGGAAGAUUACAAGAUUCAGAGGUAAAGAGAAUUUUAGAGAGACUAAAAUUGCGACUGAACUCCAAUAAUACAAGUGAGAGUCUUUUAUAGACCUCAGAUAAAGUAAAAGCAUCUUGUGCUUACAUGUGGACGGCUAUUAUUUUGCCGACAAAGUAGUGGGUCCCUAUUAAUUAAGACUAGACUCGUACAGCAAAGAUUCCAUCCGAGUGGAGGCAUACUUUUUGACUUAUUACUCAUGCUUAUCUUUUCUUUAAUAAAGUAAGCGUAUACAAGACAAAAGUGGGCAUUCCCACUAUAAUUAAUUUAAGACAAGGCCAUGUGCUUGCCCUACUCGGAUUCCUUUUAGGAAUAGUAAAACAUCCUUUGGAGAAAAGUAAUUCACCACUAUAAUUAAUUUAAGACAAAGCCAUGUACUUGGCCCUACUCAGAUUCCUUUUAGGAAUAGUAAAACGUCCUUUGGAGAAAAGUAAUUCCGGUUCUUUAAACCUCUACUUUUCUUCAAGGGCCAGAAUUCAUAUUUGUAACAGGUAUCCAGGUAAGCGUAUGAUAUGCCCUUAGGACAACUCAUAUCAUCAUUACUUGAUUCGGUUGAGGAGGCGGCUUCUUCAAUGAGCUGCAGCAAAGUGGCCUCAUCCUGAUGUUCGAUAUCUUGAAGGGCUUGUUGAAGCUUCUUCUUGAUCUCGGCUUUGGAUGACUUUGACGAAGAGGACUGAGCAGUAGCUUUCUCCUUCUUCGGAGUAGGAGUUUUGGGUUUCGGAACCCAACCUUUAACAUUUAUCUCUUUGGAUAGGUACCUGAUAUGGUCAAAUUCUGCGAUCUUAAAGUCCCAAACCCAACCUUUAACCUUUAUCUCUUUGGAUUGGUACCUGAUACGGUCAAAUUCUGUGAUCUUAAAGUCCCAGCUGAUAAUAUACGAUAUCCUUUUUUGGACAUAAUAUGUACACAUUUCAAUAUGAGUAGACAACGUAGUGAUCUCCUGCUUGGUUUGGAUCUCUUCAAACUUUUGCAGAAAAUGUUGAGGGAGGUUUUCCAAUUUCUUCCGAAAGCUUUCCACCAAUCGUAAAACCACCUAGGAAUAGUGGCCUUUACUAGCUCAGGGCUAUAUUUAACAAAUGAAGUGUGACUCGGCCUGAGAUACAUGAAAUUGUACCAUGCUUGCUUGUAGAUGUACCAGUUAUAUGUCUAAGGCUUGUGACUCAUGCUCAGAGGUACAGCAGUGAGUAGAUGGUCCACUUGCCAUUCAAACGGGGAGAGGAUCUUCUUAAUGGUGAAUCGGGAAUAUAGCAUAAAAUCUGAAUUUCUUUCAGAAUAAACAUGUUCGAUUUCUAUGGAAUCCGUAUCAACUAGAAUUGCCUCAAAAUAAAGGCGAGUGUGUAAAGAAUCAGGACUAUCUACGUAGUUUGAAUUGUUGUAACAAGGUUUUACUAAAUCUUGAACCCUACCAGUUUCGAAUUCUUUAUCGAGGGCCAAAAUAGGGAAAACUCUACUGGUUAGGUACACGAAAGGCUCUUGUGCCUGAGAGGAAGGACUCCAACCUUUGGGUCCACAGCCUGGGCGAAGGACUCAAGGGUCAUCAUCUCGUAACUCUGUUUACUUUGGACCUUGGAAGCAGAUCCAGACGAGGGCUAGGCCUGUAGGUACAAAAGGUCUAGCGGACGAAAGCUGCCUUUCGGGUUUAACAAUUUUGAACGGGGAGUUAGUCUUGGCUGGCUUCAUGACCCUGAAUAAAUUCACGGGUUAGAAAAUCAGGAAGAGAAUUACUUUCUCCUUUAAUGAACUCAAUUUUAAAAUCAAAGCUAGAUAGUAGAGCUUGCCAUCUAGCAAUUUGUUUUGAUACAAGAUUUUUUACAUCUUUCUGAAAAAUUUCCUUUGCAGAUUUGUAAACAACUCGCAGUAAAAUUUUUUUGUUUACUAAAUCAUCUUGAAAUUUAGUAUACAUAGUACUAUAGACAAAUCUUCCUUUUUGACUGUACUAUAAUUUUUCUGGGUAGAAUUCAAGCACCAGAAGUAAACCUCACAAGUUGCUCACAACUAUCCGGGUUGACGCGCUGUUUAAGGAUGCCUCCAUAUCCUAUAUCAGAAGCAUCUGUUUCUACUAUCAUAAAUGCAACGCGCUGUUUAAGGAUGCCUCCAUAUCCUACAUCAGAAGCAUCAGUUUCUACUAUCAUAAAUGCAUCAGGAUUAGGUAUCCCUAGACAAGGAAGAUUUUGAACUAAUCUCUUAAUUUUUUGGACACUCUGGGUCUGUUCUUCUCCCCAAGGUGCUGGGUUUUUUCUAAGCCUAUGGUAUAAUGGCUCACAGACUUGCCUGAUCUUUGGGAUGAAAUCAGCAACAUAAUUAAGACUUCCUAAAAAUCUCUGAAGCUGAGUUUUAUCCUUACUUUCAUCAGGGAAUUUAGAAGAGAAUUCAAUGGCUCUACAAAUAGGCCUAUGGGUUCCUUGAUAAAUAUCAUGACCUAAGAAUCUAAUCGAGGUUUGAAAGAGCUUAAUUUUCUUAGCACUAACAACCAAGCCAUUGUUUUUUACACCAUUAAAGAAAGUAUUGAGAUGCUUAAAAUGAGAAUCAAUGUCCUCAGAAAAAAUCAGCACAUCAUCAAUAUAAACUAUUGACAUAUAAGAAUAAGGAUUAAAUAUGCUAUUAAUAAUUUUUUGAAAUUUAGAAGGCGCAUUUUUUAACCAAAAUGGCAUAACAUUCCAUUCGUAAUGCCCAAAAGGAACAUUGAAUUAAGGCGCAUUUUUUAACCCAAAUGGCAUAACAUUCCAUUCGUAAUGCCCAAAAGAAACAUUGAAUGAAGUCUUAUACCGAUCUACAUUCGUAAUUUGGAGUUGCCAUAAUCCAGACUUCAUAUCAAACUUACUAUUAAGGUUUGCUUUAUAAGUUCGAUUAAGAAGAUCUCUUUUGUUGGGGAUUGGAUGGCGGAUCCAUUUGAGGACAGAGUUCAGGGGCUUAUUAUUAAUUACAAGCCUGGGUGCUCCUCUUUCUUUCUCUGCACUAUUGUUACCAUAGAAUGCAGAGCAACUCCAAGGAGAGUUAGAGGGGCGGAUUAUACCAUUAACAAGCAAAUGGUUAAUCUCAUUUUUGCAAACCUCCAAUAUCUCUUGAUUCAUCUGAAUCGGUCUAGCCUUUGUAGGGAUAUUCCGUUCAUCAAAACCAUCAAUGUACAGGAGUGCCACAAAAUGCUUUUUUACAUUCCAAAAAGCAGAAGGCAAAGUAGAACAAACUUCAUUUUCAAAUUUUCUUUGGAGGGAAUAGAUCUUAGCCACCAUUCCCGGGGUUUUUUAAGUUUGUUUAAUUUGUUCAAUCUUUAUUUCUUCUUUGAGAAAAGCAAUAUGAUUAGAAAGGCGAUUAAUUUUAAAAACAGUUUUAUUUUUUAAAAACAAACUUUCUUCAGGAGAAAGAGAUUUAACAAAUCGGAAAAACACCUUUUGACCAAGGAUACAUGCAUGAAUUCCAUCUAAAUUAUCAGUAUAUGGUUUUACCUGAUUUAUGAAAGGCAGGCCAAGAAUAAUAUCUUCAUUAAUAUUUUCAGUAAUCACAAAAUCGUCCGUGAAGCAAAUAUUAUUAUUAAAAAUAUGCGCUUUUGACAAUUUAUAAUCUAUUUCAUUCGCUCUCCUGUAGCAGAAUACAAACGAGUAGUACUUUUCUCAAGGUACUUAAGAGGAAUGAGGCCUUUCAAAAUACAAUUGCGAUCAGCUCCACUAUCAAACAAUGCAAUCUUGUUAAGCACAAAGUCUUUAGCAAUUACUAAUUUAAUAGGAAUAUGCUGACUGAGAGAUUUAAUGGUGGACACAGAAAGACUGGCUUCGUUCAGAAGACCGGGAUCAAUUGAUUCUCCAGGGAAGUUAGAAGUAGGUUCUAGUUCAGCAAAAGAAACAAAAGCACUGGCUUCUUUCAGAAGACCGGGAUCAAUUGAUUUUCCAGGGAAGUUAGAAGUAGGUUCUAGUUCAGCAAAAGAAAUAGAUUUUCCUUUAUCUGUUGCAAGAACUUCUCUCAGAACUUGAGAAGUAAGGGCCUCAAGCUCAAUCUUAUCAAGACGAGACUUCAUAUCUCUGACCUCCUGCAUAUGGGAAUUAAUUUCUCUACGCAAGUCAGAGACAGAGGGCUCAGCAGGUUUAUCAAACCUAGAGAAAACCUGGUUCAUACUAAACGGUUUUAUGACCUUAGAAUGAGAAGGUUUCUUUUGGUCUGAAUAAAGGAUAAUCUUCUUAAGUUCGGCAAGAUACCUGGUUCUCGACUCAUCAUUCUUGAUGUGGUCAAUGAUAUCAAAGAGAACUUCUUUAGAAUCCUCAGUAAUCGUACUAAUGGUAUUUGAAUUACAAUCACAGAAAAUACCUUCGCACGAUCCUUCACAAGAGUCAUCCUGUUCUGAUUGACUCUCAUCAGUCUCAUAUGCGAUGUUGAUAUUCUCUUCGUCACUAUAUUCGUCUGAAGAGGUAUCAUAUGAAGCAGAAUCACUCUCUUGGAGGAUAGAAAAUUGUUUUUCUUUAUUGAUAUUCUCUUCGUCACUAUAUUCGUCCGAAGAGGUAUUAUUAGAAGCAGAAUCACUCUCUUGGAGGAUAGAAAAGAGUUUUACCUUAGUAUCAUCAUCUAAUCCUAAGAGAUUAAUUUUCUUCUUCUUCAUAGAAGACUUACACUGGUUGGCUCUCUGUCCAGACUUACCACAGUUCCAACACACAUCUUCUUUAUGGGAAGGUCUACGCUUCCUGAACUUUUUAUUGGGUUGCUCUGACCUGUCCUUAGAAGUAUUCUUUCUAGGUCUCCUAGAGUUAUACGAAGACUUCUUAGAUUUCUUCUUGUCCAUCUUAGAAGGGGGAGGAUCUACAUUACCGAACCCAAAAUCACGGCAAAAACUGCCUAAUUCGGCUCUAGAGGUCAUCCUAUCAUUUUUAAGGUGACUCUUAAGCUUGAGGUCAGUACACAGUUCUAAAGCUGUGGUAUUAAUGAGGCUAAUAAUGUCUCCAUAAGUCAUCUGGUCAUAGAGCACUUUACCACCGCACCUAUCUCUGAUUUUUUAUCUAACCUUUUCGGCAAAAAGAGGGGGAAGACCGCUAAUGAAUCUGUCUUUCCAGAAGUCACUAUUACAGAUCUAGCAUUUUCGGCAAAAAGAGGGGGAAGACCGCUAAUGAAUCUGUCUUUCCAGAAAUCACUAUUGCAGUUGGGUCUGGUCAUAAUCUUAACCAUAAACUGACCCUUAUACCACCUAAAGUCACUUAAUUUAGGACACCUAAGGUUAUUAAGGAUUUCUAGACUCCUAUCUUGGAAGAGUUUUGGCUAACCUACAAAAUGUUUAGCAAUGUGGUAGAGCAGAGUGGCACAAGCAUCCUCACGAGUCUCAAAUUUCUGAGUUUCCAUACCACUGUUAAUUCUAAUAGUGGUAAUGAUCGUGGUUUCAUUGGGAAUGUGUUGCAUAAAAUCUUCGGUGACAUAAUUAUCCCACCAGUACCAAAGCAUUCCGGUAAAGCCAGCUGUGAUCAUAGCAGCUGCUUCUUUAUCGGAGGAACUACGCAGCUUAUAACUGGUAAUGCAAACACCCAUUUCCUGGAGGACUCGAUAGAUUUGAUGUUUGGGUAACCCAUCAAUAUUCCAUUCGACGAUGCCUCGACCAUCAUGAGAAGAUUGAGACUGGAAACCGUCUUCCUCAUACUGAGUAUCAGGAAAAGAGGGGCGUCUAUAAUAAUUUCUCCGAUUAGGAUAUCGGUCAGAAAGUUUAUGAAGAGAGUUAUCAGAAAGACUGUGGACACUCUCGGAAGUAGAAGCUUUAUUUUCCUUGGCUAGGGAAGCUUCAUUUUCUUUGGUUGAGGAAGCUUUAGGUAAGAAAGUUUAUGAAGAGAGUUUUCAGAAAGAGUGUGGACAUUCUAGGAAGUAGAAGCUUUGACAAUCUCGGAAGUAGAAGCUUUAUUUUCCUUGGUUGAGGGAGAAUCAGAAACUGACGAUGCUUUAGCCUUACUUUUGUCAGAGGCGUGAAAGUGGGUUAAUUUUUCGGUGAUUUGUUCAACUAGCUUACCUGAGAUGGCAAUAUCGUUGCUGAGCUUGGGGAACAAUUCACGAUGAAAUUCAGGGGGUUUGAAUAUAGGAUUAGGCUCUAUCGUUUUACUAGUACUGGGCCUAGGGGCACUUAAACUAGGGGCCGAAAACACCAACUUAGGAUUUGUUUCCUCAAUCUGUAAAGAAACAGUGUGCAAAAAUUUAUUGGUAUAAUUGUUCUAUUGGACAAUCUUAUCAAUAUCUGCAUUAGAGGGCAAACUCUGAGGAUUACUGCUUUUGAGCUUGAAAGGAGACGCAGGAACAAGAUUAUUGGAAUGAGGAAUUUUAAUUCCCUCAAGCGCGGGAGUGACAGAGUCGACGACCUUGCUGGACUGAGUAUACUUAUUAACAAGGACUUGUAAUGACUCAUUUUGGUCAUCUAACUUUCUAGUGAUUUCAAACCAUCUGAAGAAUUCGAUAUCACACUUUAAACGCUUCAUAUCUGAAAUCCACUGUUUUCCAAAAAGAGCAUGUUGACUCUGAGAAUAGGUAGCACCAUACCAUUUGACUUUCAACCUAUUGUUAGGGUCAAGCCAGAAUUUUUUCAAAGAAGCAAGAUCAGGGGUAUAGUCCUCUUCUGCAGUAAUAACACCCAAUCCAGGGUCUGAAUAAUGCCUUGGAGGCUCCAUAUUAGGCUCUAUGGGACUAGAAGGUUCCUGGACCUGAGGUUUAUAAAACACUUUUGGGAUUUCUCCCGAAUAAUCUACACCAUCAACUUGACUUUUGUCAGCUGACCUAAAAGAAUAAGAACGAUUAAAUACUCCUUCGGGGGGCUUCGAUGAAGUAGAACCCGCGGCCAAACUUCUACGAGGUCUGGAGUCCAGAAAUUUAAGAUCAACCGAACCAUCGGAAUUUUGAAUGAUACCUCAAGAAAUGGUAGCUCCUCCAGAAGGGCUGCCAUUUCAAGUAGCAGACCGAGCUCUUCUGCUUUGAAGAAGUAGAACCAGAGGUGAAACUUCUGCGAGGUCUGGAGUCCAGAAAUUUAAGAUCAAUAGAACCAUCAGAAUUUUGAAUGAUACGCUCAAUCUGACGUUUCUCAGUGUGAGAGGAAACAGGUUGGGUAAUAGCCUCAAAAUGAAAAUCUGUAUUGGCCAGGAGGUCAUUCCACUUGAGAAGGCGAGGAACAAAGACGGUACUAUGUUCAUGGUUAGUUUCCAUUAACAUAGUCACACCUUUGGUACUCUUUAUCCUAGCUCAAGGAGCAAGGGUAGUAGCCAUCAACCUGUAAUAGACUCGAUAUAUAACAGCUAACUCACGAGUUUCGGAUUUGCUGUUCAUAUUUAUAGAUUUAAUAUUAAGAGUUAAUGUAUCUAACACAUUAGGAUCAUUAAUANNNNNNNNNNNNNNNNNNNNNNNNNNNNNNNNNNNNNNNNNNNNNNNNNNNNNNNNNNNNNNNNNNNNNNNNNNNNNNNNAUCGAAAUGCCAAUCUGUAUUGGCCAAGAGGUCAUUCCACUUGAGAAGGCGAGGAACAAAGAUGAUACUAUGUUCAUGGUUAGCUUCCAUUAACAUAGUCACACCUUUGGUACUCUCUAUCCUAGCUCUAGGAGAAAGGGUAGUUGCCAUCAACCUGUAAUAGACUCGAUAUAUAACAGCUAACUCACGAGUUUCGGAUUUGCUGUUCAUAUUUAUAGUUUUAAUAUUAAGAGUUAAUGCCAUCAACCUGUAAUAGACUCGAUAGAUAACAGCUAACUCACUAGUUUCUGAUUUGCUGUUCAUAUUUAUAGUUUUAAUAUUAAGAGUUAUUGUAUCCAACAAUUAGGAUAAUUAAUAUUAACAGAGAAAUUUGGAUAGCAGUUGAAAUAAACAGGGACACCUGCUAAAUUACUUUCAAGAUCGCCCAAUAAUAAUCAUCAAAAUUAAGAAAACAUGCAUCACGUAACAGUGCACAAAUAGGAAUAUUAAGUCCUUUUCUUAAUAAAGGAUUAACAGCAAUUUGAACAAGACUAAUAUGCAAGUAAUUAAAAUUAGAUCUAUAUCUAAUUAUAUCUUGCUCAUUCAACAAUUUUAUAACUUUUAAAGAGUUUUAAUAGAAACAGUUGAUUCACAUGUUUUAAUAUUAUGUUUCUUAAUUAAAUUAAAAUGACCUAUCUGGUAGAUCUUAUGAAAAGGUUCUUCAGGGAUACUCCAGUUAUCCAAAUUAGACUCAGUUAAUGCAAUAUGAGAUGCACGAGAUGUUAAGUUAAUAGUAUUCAAGAUAUUUUGAUUCAUUUAAAAAAAUUACUGUCCUGGAACCUAUACUAAUGCAAGUACGAGAUGUUAAGUUAACAGUAUUCAAAAUAUUUUGAUUCAUUUCAAAAAUUACUGUCCUGGAACCAAUACUAAUGCAAAACAACGUAUCCAAACAAUAUAUCCAGAUUAUGCAAAUACAAGAAUUAUAAAAGCCAAAUUAUUAAUAAGUUUUAGAUCUAAUUAUCAAAGGUUCAUAAGGAUCUACAUGUUCUCUUGGCUUUACCUCAUCUCUCUCUAGAGUUAUCUAGGAUACGGGAACACCGAAAGGUCUCAACAAAACGCCUAACUCGGCUUACAAGGACCACAGGGACAGACUUGCCAACGUAUGCUCCGGGGAUUACUCGGAUACCUCACACACUUAGAGAGAAAUAAGUACCUCACACAAAGUAGAUCAAAUAUAAAACAAGAUAAAAGAUCUAACACUUAUAAAUAAUUUAAGCAUAUUACUUCAAGUAUUCAGAAUAAUAACUUAGUCAUGGAUUUGUCUUUGCAAAAGCAUUGAGCUCCGGACAGUAUAUGUGUUUAGUUGCUCAUGUUAAACACAUAAACAGCCAUCAUGGCCCUUAUACCAAAAGAUGACAGGACCAAAAUUUAAACACUUGUAUGUACAUAAAAUAUUAAUUUAAACACUUGUAAGUAUAUAAAAUAUGAACAAAUGAGAAGAUGUUACUUACAAAACCAGCUUUUUAUUUAAAAGGAGAAGGCAAGGCUGGAAGAUUACAAGAUUCAGAGGUAAAGAGAACUUUAGAGAGACUAAAAUUGCGACUGAACUCCAACAAUACAAGUGAGAGUCUUAUAUAGACCUCAGAUAAAGUAAAAGCAUCUUGUGCUUACAUGUGGACGGCUAUUAUUUUGCCGACAAAGUAGUGGGUCCCUAUUGAUUAAGACUAGACUCGUACAACAAAGAUUCCAUCUGAGUGGAAGGCAUACUUUUUGACUUAUUACUCAUGCUUAUCUUUUCUUUAAUAAAGUAAGCGUAUACAAGACAAAAUUGGGCAUUCCCACUAUAAUUAAUUUAAGAGAAGGCCAUGUACUUAGCCCUACUCGGAUUCCUUUUAGGAAUAGUAAAACGUCCUUUGGAGAAAAGUAAUUCCGGUUCUUUGAACCUCUACUUUUCUUCAAGGGCCAGAAUUCCUAUUCGUAAUAGGUAUCCAGGUAAGCCUAUGCUAUGCCCUUAGGACAACACAUAUCAUCAUUACUUAAUUUGGUUGAGGAGGCGGCUUCUUCAAUGAGCUACAGCAAAGUGGCUUCAUCCUGAUGUUCGAUAUCUUGAAGGGCUUGUUGAAGCUUCUUCUGGAUCUCGGCUUUGGAUGACUUUGAUGAAGAGGACUGAGCAGUAGCUUUCUCCUUCUUUGGAGUAGGAGUUUCGGGUUUCGGAACCCAACCUUUAACCUUUAUCUCUUUGGAUUGGUAUCUGAUACGGUCAAAUUCUGCGAUCUUAAAGUCCCAGCUGAUAAUAUACGAUAUCCUUUUUUGGACAUAAUAUUUACACAUUUUAAUAUGAGUAGGCAACGUAGUGAUCUCCUGCUAGGUUUGGAACUCGUCAAACUUUUGCAGAAAAUGUUGAGAGAGGUUUUCCCAUUUUCCUCCGAAAGCUUUCCACCUAUCGUAAAACCACCUAGGAAUAGUGGCCUUUACUAGCUCAGGGCUAUAUUUAACAAACCAAGUGUGACUCGGCCUGAGAUACAUGAAAUUGUACCAUGCUUGCUUGUAGAUGUACCAGUUAUAUGUCUAGGGCUAUAUUUAACAAACCAAGUGUGACUCGGCCUGAGAUACAUGAAAUUGUACCAUGCUUGCUUGUAGAUGUACCAAUUAUAUAUCUGAGGCUUGUGACUCAUGCUCAGAGGUAUAGGAGUGAGUAGAUGGUCCACAUGCCAUUCAAACGGGGAGAGGAUCUUCUUAUUGGUGAAUUGGGAAUGUAGGAUAAAAUCUGAAUUUCUUUCAUAAUAUACAUGUUCGAUUUCUAUGGAAUCCGUAUCAACUAAAUGCCUCAAAAUAAAGGCGAGUGUGUAAAGAAUCAGGACUAUCUACGAAGUUUGAAUUGUUGUAACAAGGUUUUACUAAAUCUUGAACCCUACCAGUUUUGAAUUCUUUUUCGAGGGCCAAAAUAGGGAAAACUCUAGUGGUUAGGUACUCGAAAGGCUCUUGUGCCUGAGAGGAAGGACUUUGGGUCUGGACCUUUGGGUCCACAGCCUGGGCGAAGGACUCAGGGGUCUUCAUCUCGUAACUCUAUUUACUUUGAACCUUGGAAGUAGAUCCAGACGAGGAUUCAGGUUUUGGGCCUGUAAGUUUGGGGAUGUCUCCAAGGACAGUAAAUUUGUUUUGAGAUGGGCUUUGGGCCGGACUAGGUAAAGGCGGGAAAGAAGGCCUUAGCUGGGCUAGGCUUGUAGGUACAAAAGGUCUAGAGGACGAAAGCUGCCUUUCGGGUUUAACAUUUUUGAACGGGGAGUUAGUCUUGGCUGGCCUCAUGACCCUGAAUAAAUUCACGGGAUAGAAAAUCAGGAAGAGAAUUACUUUCUCCUUUAAUGAACUCAAUUUUAAAAUCAAAGCUAAAUAGUAGAGCUUGCCAUCUAGCAAAUAUUUGUUUUGAAACAAGAUUAUUUACAUCUUUCUGUAAAAUUUCCUUUGUAGAUUUGCAAUCAACUCAGAGUAAAAAUACUUUGUUUACUAAAUCAUCUUGAAAUUUAGUAAUACAUAGUACUAUAGACAAAACUUCCUUUUUUUUUGUGAAAUUUCCUUUGCAGAUUUGCAAUCAACUCGGAGUAAAACAUCUUUGUUUACUAAAUCAUCUUGAAAUUUAGUAAUACAUAGUACUAUAGACAAAACUUCAUUUUUGACUGUACUAUAAUUUUUCUGGGUAGAACUCCAGACACCAGAAGUAAACCUCACAAGUUGCUCACAACUAUCCGGGUUGACGCGCUGUUUAAGGAAGCCUCUAUAUCCUAUAUUAGAAGCAUAUGUUUCUACUAUCAUAAAUGCAACAGGAUUAGGUAUCCCUAGACAAGGAAGAUUUUGAACUAAUCUCUUAAUUUUUUGGACACUCUUGCAUCGGGAUUAGGUAUCCGUAGACAAGGAAGAUAUUGAACUAAUCUCUUAAUUCUUUGGACACUCUGGGUCUGUUCUUCUCCCCAAGGUGCUGGGUUUUUUAUAAGCCUAUAGUAUAAUGGCUCACAGACUUGCCUAAUCUUUGGGAUGAAAUCAGCAACAUAAUUAAGACUUCCUAAAAAUCUCUGAAGCUGAGUUUUAUCCUUAAUUUAAUCAUGGAAUUUAGAAGAGAAUUCUAUGGCUCUACAAAUAGGCCUGUGGGUUCCUUGAUAAAGAUCAUGACCUAAGAAUCUAAUCGAGGUUUGAAAGAGCUUAAUUUUCUUAGCACUAACAACCAAGCCAUUGUUUUUUACACCAUUAAAGAAAGUAUUGAGAUGCUUAAAAUGAGAAUCAAUGUCCUCAGAAAAAAUCAGCACAUCAUCAAUAUAAACUAUUGACAUAUAAGAAUAAGGAUUAAAUAUGCUAUUAAUAAUUUUUUGAAAUUUAGAAGGCGCAUUUUUUAACCAAAAUGGCAUAACAUUCCAUUCGUAAUGCCCAAAAGGAACAUUGAAUGCAGUCUUAUACCGAAGGCGCAUUUUUAACCCAAAUAGCAUAACAUUCCAUUCGUAAUGCCCAAAAGGAAUAUUGAAUGCAGUCUUAUACCGAUCUUCAUUCUUAAUAUAGAUUUACCAGAAUCCAGACUUCAUAUCGAACUUACUAUAAAGGUUUGCUUUAUAAGUUCGUUUAAGAAGAUCUCUUUUGUUGGGGAUUGGAUGGCGGAUCCAUUUGAGGACAGAGUUCAGAGGCUUAUAAUUAAUUACAAGCCUGGGUGCUCAUCUUUCUUUCUCUGCACUAUUGUUAACAUAGAAUGCAGAGCAACUCUAAGGAGAGUUAGAGGGGCGGAUUAUACCAUUAUCAAGCAAAUGGUUAAUCUCAUUUUUGCAAACCUCCAACAAUUCUUCAUUCAUCUGAAUCGGUCUAGCCUUUGUAGGGAUAUUCCGUUCAUCAAAACCAUCAAUGUACGGGAGUUCAACAGAAUGCUUUUUUACAUUCCAAAAAGCAGAAGGCAAAUUAGAACAAACUUCAUUUUCAAAUUUUCUUUGGAGGGAAUCAAUCUUAGCCACCAUUCCCGGGGUUUUUAAAGUUUGUUUAAUUUGUUCAAUCUUUAUUUCUUCUUUGACGAUCUUAGACACCAUUCCCGGGGUUUUUAAAGUUUGUUUAAUUUGUUCAAUCUUUAUUUAUUCUUUUAGAAAAGAAAUAUGAUUAGAAAGGCGAUUAAUUUUAAAAACAGUUUUAUUUUUCAAAAACAAACUUUCUUCAAGAGAAAGGGAUUUAACAAAUGGGAAAAACACCUUUUGACCAAGGACACAUGCAUGAAUGCCAUCUAAAUCAUCUGUAUAUGGUUUUAACUGAUUUAUGAAAGGCAGACCAAGAAUAAUAUCUUCAUUAAUAUUUUCAGUAAUCACAAAAUCGUUCGUAAAGCAAAUAUUAUUAUUACAAAUAUGCGAUUUAGACAAUUUAAAAUCUAUUUUCAUUCGCUCUCCUGUAGCGGAAUACAAACGAGUAGUACCUUUCUCAAGGUACUAAAGAGGAAUGAGGCCUUUUACAAUUCAAUUGCGAUCACCGCCACUAUCAAACAAUGCAAUCUUGUUAAGCACAAAGUCUUUAGCAAUUACUAAUUUAAUAGGAAUAUGCUGACUGAGAGAUUUAAUGGUGGACACAGAAGGAUUUGCUUCUUCAAGAAGACCGAGAUCAAUUGAUUCUCCAGGGAAGUUAGAAGUAGGUUCUAGUUCAGAAAAAGAAACAGAUUUUCCUUUAUUUGUUGCAGGAACUUAUCUAAGAACUUGAGAAGUAAGGUCCUCAAGCUCAAUCUUAUCAAGACGAGACUUCAUAUCUCUGACCUCCUGCUUAAGAGAAUUCAUUUCUCUACGCAAGUCAGAUACAGAGGGCUCAGCAGGUUUAUCGAACCUAGAAAAAACCUGGUUCAUACUAAAAGGUUCUAUAAACUUAGAAUGAGAAGGUUUCUUUUGGUCUGAAUUAAGGAUAAUCUUCUUAAGUUCAGGAAGAGACCUUGUUCUAGACUCAUCAUUCUUGAUGUGGUCAAUGAUAUCAAAGAGAACUUCUUUAGAAUCCUCAGUAAUCGUACUAAUGGUAUUUGAAUUACAAUCACAGAAAAUACCUUCGCACGAUCCUUCACAAGAGUCAUCCUGUUCUGAUUGACUCUCAUCAGGUUUGAUUUACAAUCACAGAAAAUACCUUCGCACGAUCCUUCAUAAGAGUCAUCCUGUUCUGAUUGACUCUCAUCAGUCUCAUAUGCGACAUUGAUAUUCUCUUCGUCAUUAUAUUCGUCCGAAGAAGUAUUAUUAGAAGCAAAAUCACUCUCUUGGAGGAUAGAAAAGAGUUUUUCCUCAGUAUCAUCAUCUAAUCCUAAGAGAUUAAUUUUCUUCUUCUUCUUAGAAGACUUACACUGGUUGGCUCUAUGUCAAGACUUUCCAUAGUUCCAACACACAUAUUCUUUAUGGGAAGGUCUACGCUUCCUGCAUUUCUUCUUGGGUUGGUCUGACCUGUCCUUAGAAGUAUUCUUUCUAGGUCUCCUAGAUUUAUACAAAGACUUCGUAGAUUUCUUCUUGGCCAUCUUAGAAGGGGGAGGAUCUACAUUACCGAACCCAAAAUCAUGGCAAAACUGCCUAAUUCGGCUCUAGAUGUCAUCCUAUCUUUCUUAAGGUAACUCUUCAGCUUGAGGUCAGUACACAGUUCUAAAGCUGUGGUUUUAAUGAGACUAAUAAUGUCUCCAUAAGUCAUCUGGUCAUAGGGCACCUUACCACUGCACCUAUCUCUGAUUUUUUAUCUAACCUUUUCGGCAAAAAGAGGGGGAAGACCGCUAAUGAAUCUGUCUUUCCAGAAGUCACUAUUACAGUCGGGUCUGGUCAUAAUCUUAACCAUAAAUUGAUCCUUGUACCACCUAAAGUCACUUAAAUUAGGACAUCUAAGGUUAUUAAGGAUUUCUAGACUCCUAUAUUGGAAGAGCUUUGGCUCACCUACAAAGUGUUUAGCAAUGUGGAAGAGCAGAGUGGCACGUGGUCAUAAUCUUAACCAUAAACUCAUCCUUAUACCACCUAAGGUCACUUAAUUUAGGAAACCUAAGGUUAUUAAGGAUUUCUAGACUCCUAUCUUGGAAGAGUUUUGGCUCACCUACAAAGUGUUUAGCAAUGUGGUAGAGCAGAGUGGCACAAGCAUCCUCACGAGUCUUAGAUUCCUGAGUUUCCAUACCACUGUUAGUUCUAAUAGUGGUUCGUGGUUGCAUUGAGAAUGUGUUGCUUAAGUUCUUCGGUGACAUAAUUAUCCCACCAAUACCUAAGCAUUCCCGUAAAGCCAGCUGUGACCAUAGUAGCUGCUUCUUUAUUGGAGGAACUACGCAGCUUAUAGCUGGUAACGCAAGCACCCAUUUCGUGGAGGACUCGAUUGAUUUGAUGUUCGGCUAACCCAUCAAUAUUCCAUUCGACCAUGCCUCAACCAUCAUGAGAAGAUUGAGACUGGAAACCGUCUUCCUCAUACUGAGUAUCAGGAAAGGAGGGACGUUUAUAAUAAUUUCUCCUAUUAGGAUAUCGGUAAGAAAGUUUAUGAAGAGAGUUUUCAGAAAGAGUGUGGACAUUCUAGGAAGUAGAAGCUUUGACAAUCUCGGAAGUAGAAGCUUUAUUUUCCUUGGUUGAGGGAGUCAGAAAGUUAAUGAAGAGAGUUUUCAGAAAGAGUGUGGACAUUCUCGGAAAUAGAAGCUUUGACACUCUCGGAAGUAGAAGCUUUAUUUUCCUUGGUUGAGGGAGAAUCAAAAACUGACGAUGCUUUAGCCUUAAUUUUGUCAGAGACUGAAAGUGGGCUAAUUUUUCGGAGAUUUGUUCAACUAGCACCUUAGACGGCAAUAUCGUUGCUGAGCUUGGGGAACAAUUCACGACGAAAUUCAGGGGGUUUGAAUAUAGGAUUAGGCUCUAUCGUACUACUAGUACUGGGCCUAGGGGCACUUAAACUAGGGGCUGAAAAAAGGGGGUUUGAAUAUAGGAUUAGGCUCUAUCGUAUUACUAGUAUUGGGCCUAGGGGCACUUAAACUAGGAGCCGAAAAGACCAACUUAGGAUUUUUUUCCUCAAUCUGUAAAGAAACAGUGUGCAAAAAUUUAUUGGUAUAAUUGUUCUGUUCGACAAUCUUAUCAAUAUCUGCAUUGGAGGACAAACUCUGAGGAUUACUGCUUUUCAGCUUGAAAGGAGACGCAGGAACAAGAAUAUUGGAAUGAGGAAUUUUAAUUCCCUCAAACGGGGGAGUGACAGACUCAACGACCUUGCUGGACUGAGUAUACCACUUAUAAACAAGGACUUGUAAUGACUCAUUUUGUUCAUCUAACUUUCCAUUGAUUUCAAACCAUCUGAAAAAUUCGAUAUCACACUUUAAACGCUUCAUAUCUGAAAUCCACUGUUUUCUAAAAAGAGCCUGCUAACUCUGAGAAUCGGUAACACCAUACCAUUUGACUUUCAACAUAUUGUUAGGGUCAAGCCAGAGUUUUUUCAAAGAAGCAAGAUCAGGGGUAUAAUCCUCUUCUGCAGUAAUAACACCCAAUCCAGGGUCUGAAUAUUGCCUUGGAGGCUCCAUAUCAGACUCUGUAGGAUUAGAAGGUUCCUGGACCUGAGGUUUAUGAAACACUUUUUGGAUUUCUCCCGAAAAAUCUACACCAUCAACUUGACUUUUGUCAGCUGAACUAAAAGAAUAAGAACGAUUAAGUACUCCCUCCGGGGGAUUUGAAGAAGUAGAACCAGGGGUGAAACUUCUGCGAGGUUUGGAGUCCAGAAAUUUAAGAUCAACAGAACCAUCGGAAUUUUGAAUGAUACGCUCAAUCUGACGUUUCUCAGUGUGAGAGGAAACAGGUUGGGUAUUAGCCUCGAAAUGCCAGUCUGUAUUGUACGCUCAAUCUGACGUUUCUCAGUGUGAGAGGAAACAGGUUGGGUAAUAGCCUCGAAAUGCCAAUCUGUAUUGGCCAGGAGGUCAUUCCACUUGAGAAGGCGAGGAACAAAGAUGAUACUAUGUUCAUGGUUAGCUUUCAUUAACAUAGUCAUACCUUUGGUACUCUCUAUCCUAGCUCUAGGAGCAAGGGUUGUUGCCAUCAACCUGUAAUAGACUCGAUAUAUAACAGCUAACUCACGAGUUUCUGAUUUGCUGUUAAUAUUUAUAGUUUUAAUAUUAAGAAUUAAUGUAUCCAACACAUUAUGAUCAUUGAUAUCAACAGAGAAAUUUGGAUAGCAGUUGAAAUAAACAGGGCCACCUGCUAAAUUACUUUCAAGAGCUCCCAAUAAAUAAUCAUCAAAAUUAAGAAAACGUGCAUCGCGUAACAGUGCACAAACAGGAAUAUUAAGUCCUUUUCUAAAUAUAGGCUUAACAGCAAUUUGAACAAGACCAAUAUGCAAGUAAUUAAAUUUAGAUCUAUAUCUAAUUAUAUCUUGCUCAUUCAACAAUUUUAUAACUUCUAAAGAGUUAUUAAUUGUAACAGUUGAUUAACAUGUUUUAAUAUUAUGUUUCUUAAUUAAAUUAAAAUGACCUAUCUGGUAGAUCUUAUGAAAAGGUUCUUCAAGGAUACUCCAGUUAUCCAAAUUAGACUCAGUUAAUGCAAUCUGAGAAGUACGAGAUGUUAAGUUAACAGUAUUAAAAAUAUUUUGAUUCAUUUCAAAAAAUUACUGUCGUGGAACCAAUACUAAUGCAAAACAACGUAUCCAAACAAUAUAUCCAGAUUAUGCAAAUACAAGAAUUACAAAGGCCAAAUUAUUAAUAAGUUUUAGAUCUAAUUAUCGAUGGUUCAUAAGGAUAUACAUGUUCUCUUGGCUAUACCUCAUCUCUCUCUAGAGUUAUCUAGGCUACGGGAACACCUAAAGGUCUCAACAACGGCUUACAAGGACCACAGGGACAGGCUUGCCAACGUAUGCUCCGAGGAUUACUCGGAUACCUCACACACUUAGAGAGAAAUAAGUACCUCACACAAAGUAGAUCAAUUAUAAAACAAUAUAAAAGGAUUCAACACUUAUAAAUAAUUUAAGCAUUCUUCUUCAAGUAUUUGGCAUAAUAACUUGGUCAUGGAUUUGUGUUUGCAAAAGCAUUGAGCUCCGGACAGUAUAUGUGUUUAGUUGCUCAUGUUAAACACAUAAACNNNNNNNNNNNNNNNNNNNNNNNNNNNNNNNNNNNNNNNNNNNNNNNNNNNNNNNNNNNNNNNNNNNNNNNNNNNNNNNNNNNNNNNNNNNNNNNNNNNNNNNNNNNNNNNNNNNNNNNNNNNNNNNNNNNNNNNNNNNNNNNNNNNNNNNNNNNNNNNNNNNNNNNNNNNNNNNNNNNNNNNNNNNNNNNNNNNNNNNNNNNNNNNNNNNNNNNNNNNNUUUUUUAUUUAAAAGGAGAAGGCAAGGCUGGAAGAUUACAAGAUUCAGAGGUAAAGAGAAUUUUGGAGAGACUAACAUUGCGACUGACCUCCAACAAUACAAGUGAGAGUCUUUUAUGGACCUCAGAUAAAGUAAAAGCAUCUUGUGCUUACAGGUGGACGGCUAUUAUUUUGCCGACAAAAUAAUGGGUCCCUGCUGAUUAAGACUAGACGCGUACAGCAAAGAUUCCAUCUGAGUGGAAGACAUACUUUUGACUUAUUACACAUGCUUAUCAUCUCUUUAAUUAAGACUAGACUCGUACAGCAAAGAUUCCAUCUGAGUGGAAGGCAUACUUUUUGACUUAUUAAUCAUGCUUAUCGUUUCUUUAAUAAAGUAAGCGCAUACAAGACAAAAAUGGGCAUUCCCACUAAUUAAUUUAAGACAAGGCCAUGUGCUUGGCCCUACUCGGAUUUAUUUUAGGAAUAGUAAAACGUCCUUUGGAGAAAAGUAAUUCCGCUUCUUUGAACCUCUACUUUUAUUCAAGGGCCAGAAUUCCUAUUCAUAAUAGGUAUCCAGGUAAGCCUAUGCUAUGCCUUUAGGACAGCACAUAUCAUCAUUACUUGAUUCGGUUGAGGAGGCGGCUUCUUCAAUGAGCUGCAGCAAAGUGGCUUCAUCCUGAUGUUCGAUAUCUUGAAAAGCUUGUUGAAGCUUCUUCUUGAUAUUGGCUUUGGAUGACUUUGACGAAGAGGACUGAGCAGUAGCUUUCUCCUUCUUUGGAGUAGAAGUUUUGGGUUUCGGAGACCAACCUUUAACCUUUAUCUCUUUGGAUAGGUACCUGAUACGGUCAAAUUCUGCGAUCUUAAAGUCCCAGCUGAUAAUAUACGAUAUCCUUUUUUGGACAUAAUAUUUACACAUUUUAAUAUGAGUAGGCAACGUAGUGAUCUCCUGCUUGGUUUGGAACUCGUCAAACGUUUGCAGAAAAUGUUGAGGGAGGUUUUCCCAUUUUCCUCCGAAAGCUUUCCACCAAUCGUAAAACCACCUAGGAAUAGUGGCCUUUACUAGCUCAGGGCUAUAUUUAACAAACCAAGUGUGACUCGCCCUGAGAUACAUGAAAUUGUACCAUGCUUGCUUGUAGAUUUACCAGUUAUAUGUCUGAGGCUUGUGACUCAUGCUCAGAGGUAUAGGUGUGAGUAGAUGGUCCACAUGCCAUCCAAACGGGGAGAGGAUCUUUUUAAUGGUGAAUUGGGAAUAUAGGAUAAAAUCUGAAUUUCUUUAAGAAUAAACAUGUUCGAUUUCUAUGGAAUCGGUAUCAACUAGAAUUGCCUCAAAAUAAAGGCGAGUGUGUACAGAAUCAGGACUAUCUACGUAGUUUGAAUUGUUGUAACAAGGUUUUACUAAAUCUUGAAACCUACCAGUUUUGAAUUCUUUAUCGAGGGCCAAAAUAGGGAAAACUCUAGUGGUUAGGUACUCGAAAGGCUCUUGUGCCUGAGAGGAAGGACUUUGGGUCAGGACCUUUGGGUCCACAGCCUGGGCGAAGGACUCAUGGGUCUUCAUCUCGUAGCUCUGUUAAGGAAGGACUUUGGACCUUUGGGUCCACCGCCUGGGCGAAGGACUCAGGGGUCUUCAUCUCGUAACUAUGUUUACUUUGGACCUUGGAAGUAGAUCCAGACGAGGAUUUAGGUUUUGGGCCUGUAAGUUUGGGGAUGUCUCCAAGGACAGUAAAUUUGUUUUGAGCCGGACUAGGUAAAGGAGGGAAAGAAGGCCUUAGCUGGGCUAGGCCUGUAGGGACAAAAGGUCUAGCGGACGAAAGUUGGCUUUCGAGUUUAACAUUUUUGAACGGGGAGUUAGUCUUGGCUGGCCUCAAGACCCUGAAGAAAUUCACGGGUUAGAAAAUCAGGAAGAGAAUUACUUUCUCCUUUAAUGAACUCAAUUUUAAAAUGAAAGCUAGAUAGUAGAGCUUGCCAUCUAGCAAAUAUUUGUUUUGAAACAAGAUUUUUUACAUCUUUUUGUAAAAUUUCCUUUGAAGAUUUGCAAUCAACUCGGAGUAAAAAAUUUUUGUUUACUAAAUCAUCUUGAAAUUUAGUAAUACAUAGUACUAAAGACAAAACUUCCUUUUUCACUGUACUAUAAUUUUUCUGGGUAGAAUUCCAGACACCAGAAGUAAACCUCACAAGUUGCUCACAACUAUCCGGGUUGACGCGCUGUUUAAGGAUGCCUCCAUAUCCUAUAUCAGAAGCAUCUGUUUCUACUAUCAUAAAUGCAUUGACGCGCUGUUUAAGGAUGCCUCCAUAUCCUACAUCAGAAGCAUCAGUUUCUACUAUCAUAAAUGCAUCAGGAUUAGGUAUCCCUAGACAAGGAAGAUUUUGAACUAAUCUCUUAAUUUUUUGGACACUCUGGGUCUGUUCUUCUCCCAAAGGUGCUGGGUUUUUUCUAAGCCUAUGGUAUAAUGGCUCACAGACUUGCCUAAUCUUUGGGAUGAAAUCAGCAACAUAAUUAAGACUUCCUAUAAAUCUCUGAAGCUGAGUUUUAUCCUUAAUUUCAUCCAGGAAUUUAGAAGAGAAUUCUAUGGCUCUACAAAUAGGCCUAUGGGUUCCUUGAUAAAGAUCAUGACCUAAGAAUCUAAUCGAGGUUUGAAAGAGCUUAAUUAUUUUUAGCACUAACAACCAAGCCAUUGUUUUUCACAACAUUAAAGAAAGUAUUGAGAUGCUUAAAAUGAGAAUCAAUGUCCUCAGAAAAAAUCAGCACAUCAUCAAUAUAAACUAUUGACAUAUAAGAAUAAGGAUUAAAUAUGCUAUUAAUAAUUUUUUGAAAUUUAGAAGGCGCAUUUUUUAACCAAAAUGGCAUAACAUUCCAUUCGUAAUGCCCAAAAGGAACAUUGAAUGCAGUCUUAUACCGAUCNNNNNNNNNNNNNNNNNNNNNNNNNNNNNNNNNNNNNNNNNNNNNNNNNNNNNNNNNNNNNNNNNNNNNNNNNNNNNNNNNNNNNNUAGGACACCUAAGGUUAUUAAGGAUUUCAAGACUCCUAUAAUUCUUGAUUCAUCUGAAUCGGUCUAGCCUACGUAUGGAUAUUCCGUUCAUCAAAACCAUCAAUGUACGGGAGUUCAACAGAAUGCUUUUUUACAUUCCAAAAAGCAGAAGGCAAAUUAGAACAAACUUCAUUUUCAAAUUUUCUUUGGAGGGAAUCAAUCUUAGCCACCAUUCCCGGGGUUUUUAAAGUUUGUUUAAUUUGUUCAAUCUUUAUUUCUUCUUUGAGAAAUGAAAUAUGAUUAGAAAGGCGAUUAAUUUUAAAAGGGUUUUUAAAGUUUGAAUAAUUUGUUCAAUCUUUAUUUAUUCUUUGAGAAAAGAAAUAUGAUUAGAAAGCCGAUUAAUUUUAAAAACAAUAUUAUUUUUCAAAAACAAACUUUCUUCAGGAGAAAGGGAUUUAACAAAUGUGAAAAACACCUUUUGACCAAGGACACAUGCAUGAAUGCCAUUUAAAUCAUCAGUAUAUGGUUUUAAUUGAUUUAUGAAAGGCAGACCAAGAAUAAUAUCUUCAUUAAUAUUUUCAGUAAUUACAAAAUCGUUCGUAAAGCAAAUAUUAUUAUAAAAAAUAUGCGCUUUAGACAAUUUAUAAUCUAUUUUCGUUCGCUCUCCUGUAGCGGAAUACAAACGAGUAGUACCUUUCUCAAGGUACUUAUGAGGAAUGAGGCCUUUCACAAUACAAUUGCGACCAGCUCUACUAUCAAACAAUGCAAUCUUGUUAAGCACAAAGUCUUUAGCAAUUACUAAUUUAAUAGGAAUAUGCUUACUGAGAGAUUUAAUGGUGGACACAGAAGGAUUUGCUUCUUCAAGAAGACCGAGAUCAAUUGAUUCUCCAGGGAAGUUAGAAGUAGGUUCUAGUUCAGAAAAAGAAACAGAUUUUCCUUUAUUUGUUGCAGGAACUUAUCUAAGAACUUGAGAAGUAAGGUCCUCAAGCUCAAUUUUCCUUUAUCUGUUGCAGGAAAUUCUCUAAGAACUUGAGAAGUAAGGGCCUCAAGCUCAAUCUUAUCAAGACGAGACUUCAUAUCUCUGACCUCCUGCUUAAGGGAAUUCAUUUAUCUACGCAAGUCAGAGACAGAGGGCUCAGCAGGUUUAUCGAACCUAGAGAAAACCUGGUUCAUACUAAAAGGUUCUAUGACCUUAGAAUGAGAAGGUUUCUUUUGGUCUGAAUUAAGGAUAAUCUUCUUAAGUUCAGCAAGGUACCUAGUUCUAGACUCAUCAUCCUUGAUGUGGUCAAUGAUAUCAAAGAGAACUUCUUUAGAAUCCAUACCUGGAUCUAGACUCAUCAUUCUUGAUGUGGUCGAUGAUAUCAAAGAGAACUUCUUUAGAAUCCUCAGUAAUCGUACUAACGGUAUUUGAAUUACAAUCACAGAAAAUACCUACGCACGAUCCUUCACAAGAGUCAUCCUGUUCUAAUUGACUCUCAUCAAUCUCAUAUGCGACAUUGAUAUUCUCUUCAUCACUAUAUUUGUCCGAAGAGGUAUUAUUAGAAGCAGAAUCACUCUCUCGAGGAUAGAAAAGAGUUUUUCCUUAGUAUCAUCAUCUAAUCCUAAGAGAUUAAUUUUCUUCUUCUUCUUAGAAGACAUACACUGGUUGGCUCUAUGUCCAGACUUACCACAAUUCCAACACAUAUCUUCUUUAUGGGAAGGUCUACGAUUCCUGAAUUUCUUCUUGGGUUGGUCGGACCUGUCCUUAGAAGUAUUCUUUCUAGGUCUCCUAGAUUUAUACAAAGACUUCUUAGAUUACUUCUUGGCCAUCUUAGAAGGGGGAGGAUCUACAUUACUGAACCCAAAAUCACGGCAAAAACUGCCUAAUUCGGCUCUAGAUGUCAUCCUAUCUUUCUUAAGGGGACCCUUUAGCUUGAGGUCAGUACACAGUUCUAAAGUUGUGGUAUUAAUAAGGCUAAUAAUGUCUCCAUAAGUCAUCUGGUCAUAGGGCACCUUACCACCGCACCUAUCUCUGAUUUUUUAUCUAACCUUUUCGGCAAAAAGAGGGGGAAGACCGCUAAUGAAUCUGUCUUUCCAGAAGUCACUAUUACAGUCGGGUCUGGUCAUAAUCUAAAAAGAGGGGGAAGAUCGCUAAUGAAUCUGUCUUUCUAAAAGUCACUAUUACAGUCGGGUCUGGUCAUAAUAUUAACCAUAAACUGAUCCUUAUACCACCUAAAGUCACUUAUUUAGGACACCUAAGGUUAUUAAGGAUUUCUAGACUCCUAUCUUGGAAGAGUUUUGGCUCACCUACAAAGUGUUUAGCAAUGUGGUAGAGCAUAGUGGCACAAGCAUUCUCACGAGUCUUAGAUUCCUGAGUAUCAGGAAAGGAGGGACGUUUAUUAUAAUUUCUCCUAUUAGGAUAUCAGUCAGAAAGUUUAUGAAGAGAGUUUUCAGAAAGAGUGUGGACAUUCUCGGAAGUAGAAGCUUUGACACUCUCGGAAGUAGAAGCUUUAUUUUCCUUGGUUGAGGGAGAAUCAGAAACUGACAAUGCUUUAGCCUUACUUUUGUCAGAGGCGUGAAAGUGGGCUAAUUUUUUGGUAAUUUGUUCAACUAGCUUACCUGAGACGGCAAUAUCGUUGCUGAGCUUGGGGAACAAUUCACGACGAAAUUCAGGGGUUUGAAUAUAGGAUUAGGCUCUAUCGUAUUACAAGUACUGGGCCUAGGGGCACUUAAACUAGGGGACGAAAACACCAACUUAGGAUUUGUUUCCUCGAUCUGAAAAGAAAUAGUGUGCAACAAUUUAUUGGUAUAAUUUUUCUAUUUUACAAUCUUAUCAACAUUUUCAUUAGAGGGCAAACUCUGAGGAUUACUGCUUUUGAGCUUGAAAGGAGACGCAGGAACAAGAAUAUUGGAAUGAGGAAUUUUAAUUCCCUCAAGCGGGGGAGUGACAGAGUUGACGACCUUGCUGGACUGAGUAUACCACUUAUUAACAAGGACUUGUAAUGACUCAUUUUGGUCAUCUAACUUUCCAGUGAUUUCAAGCCAUCUGAAGAAUUCGAUAUCACACUUUAAACGCUUCAUAUCUAAAAUCCACUGUUUUCCAAAAAGAGCCUGCUGACUCUGAGAAUAGGUAGCACCAUACCUUUUGACUUUCCACCUAUUGUUAGGGUCAAGCCAAAGUUUUUUCAAAGAAGUAAGAUCAGGGGAAUAAUCCUCUUCUACAGUAAUAACACCCAAUCCAGGGUCUGAAUAUUGCCUUGGAGGCUCCAUAUCAGACUCUGUGGGACUAGAAGAUUCCUGGAUCUGAGGUUUAUAAAACACUUUUGGGAUUUCUCCCGAAAAAUCUACACCAUCAACUUGACUUUUGUCAGCUGACCUAAAAGAAUAAGAAAGAUUAAAUACUCCCUCUGGGGGCUUUGAAAAGUAGAACCAGCGGUGAAACUUCUACGAGGUCUGGAGUCCAGAAAUUUAAGAUACAGAACCAUCGGAAUUAUUAAUGAUAUGCUCAAUCUGACGUUUCUCAGUGUGAGAGGAAACACGUUGGAUAAUAGCCUUGAAAUGCCAAUUUGUAUUGGCCUGGAGGUCAUUCCACUUGAGAAGGCGAGGAACAAAGAUUGUACUAUGUUCAUGGUUAGCUUCCAUUAAUAUAGUCACACCUUUGGUACUCUCUAUCCUAGCUCUAGGAGCAAGGGAAGUUGCCAUCAACCUGUAAUAGACUCGAUAUAUAACAGCUAACUCACGAGUUUUUGAUUUGCUGUUCAUAUUUAUAGUUUUAAUAUUAAGAGUUAAUGUAUCCAACACAUUAGGAUCANNNNNNNNNNNNNNNNNNNNNNNNNNNNNNNNNNNNNNNNNNNNNNNNNNNNNNNNNNNNNNNNNNNNNNNNNNNNNNNNNNNNNNNNNNNNAGUUGAAAUAAACAGGGCCACCUGCUAAAUUACUUUCAAGAGCUCCCAAUAAAGAAUCAUCAAAAUUAAGAAAACGUGCAUCACGUAACAGUGCACAACAGGAAUAUUAAGUCCUUUUCUAAAUAAAGGAUUAAUAGCAAUUUGAACAAGACCAAUAUGCAAGUAAUUAAAAUUAGAUCUAUAUCUUAUUAUAUCUUGCUCAUUCAACAAUUUUAUAACUUCUAAGAGUUAUUAAUUACAACACUUGAUUCACAUGUUUUAAUAUUAUGAUUCUUAAUUAAAAUAAAAUGACCUAUCUGGUAGAUCUUAUGAAAAGGUUCUUCAGGGAUACUCCAGUUAUCCAAAUUAGACUCAGUUAAUGCAAUAUGAGAUGCACGAGAUGUUAAGUUAAUAGUAUUCAAGAUAUUUUGAUUCAUUUAAAAAAAUUACUGUCCUGGAACCUAUACUAAUGCAAAUUGAGAAGUACGAGAUGUUAAGUUAACAGUAUUCAAAAUAUUUUGAUUCAUUUCAAAAAAAUUACUGUCGUGGAACCAAUACUAAUGCAAAACAACGUAUCCAAAUAAUAUAUCCAGAUUAUGCAAAUACAAGAAUUACAAAAGCCAAAUUAUUAUUAAGUUUUAGAUCUAAUUAUCAAAGGUUCAUAAGGAUCUACAUGUUCUCUUGGCUUUACCUCAUCUCUCUCUAGAGUUAUCUAGGCUACGGGAACACCUAAAGGUCCCAACAAAACGCCUAACUCGGCUUACAAGGACCACAGGGACAGGCUUGCCAACGUAUGCUCCGGGGAUUACUCGGAUACCUCACACACUUAGAGAGAAAUAAGUACCUCACACAAAGUAGAUCAAUUAUAAAACAAGAUAAAAAGAUUUAACACUUAUAAAUAAUUUAAGCAUACUACUUCAAGUAUUUAGCAUAGUAACAUAGUCAUGGAAUUGUUUUGCAAAAGCAUUGAGCUCCGGACAGUAUAUGUGUUUAGUUGCUCAUGUUAAACAUAUAAAUUGUCUUUGCAAAAGCAUUGAGCUCCGGACAGUAUAUGUGUUUAGUUACUCAUGUUAAACACAUAAACAGCCAUCAUGGCUCUGAUACCAAAAGAUGACAUGACCGAAAAUUAAACACUUGUAAGUAUAUAAAAAUAUGAACAAAUGAAAAGAUGUUACUUACAAAACCAACUUUUUAUUUAAAAGGAGAAGGCAAGGCUGGAAGAUUACAAGAUGUUAAGUUAACAGUAUUCAAAAUAUUUUGAUUCAUUUCAAAAAAUUACUCUUUUGGAACCAAUACUAAUGCAAAACAAUGUAUCCAAACAAUAUAUCCAAAUUAUGCAAAUACAAGAAUUACAAAAGCCAAAUUAUUAAUAAGUUUUAGAUCUAAUUAUCAAAGGUUCAUAAGGAUCUACAAGUUCUCUUGGCUUUACCUUAUAUCUCUCUAGAGUUAUCUAGGCUAUGGGAACACCAAAAGGUCUCAACAAAACGCCUAACUCGGCUUACAAGGACCACAGGGAUAGGCUUGCCAACGUAUGCUCCGGGGAUUACUCGGAUACCUCACACACUUAGAGAGAAAUAAGUACCUUACACAAAGUAGAUCAAUUAUAAAACAAGAUAAAAGAUUAAACACUUAUAAAUAAUUUAAGCAUACUACUUCAAGUAUUUAGCAUAGUAACAUAGUCAUGAAAAAGUAGAUCAAUUAUAAAACAAGAUAAAAAGGUUUAACUUAUAAAUAAUUUAAGAAUACUUCUUCAAGUAUUUGGCAUAAUAAAUUGGUCAUGGAUUUGUCUUUGCAAAAGCAUUGAGCUCCGGACAGUAUAUGUGUUUAGUUGCUCAUGUUAAACACAUAAACAGCCAUCAUUGCUCUGAUACCAAAAGAUGACAGGACCGAAAUUUAAACACUUUUAAGUAUAUAAAAUAUUAAUUUAAACACUUGUAAGUAUAUAAAUUAUGAACAAAUGAAAAGAUGUUACUUACAAAACCAGCUUUUUAUUUAAAAGGAGAAGGCAAGGCUGGACGAUUACAAGAUUCAGAGGUAAAGAGAAUUUUAGAGAAACUAAAAUUGCGACUAACCUCAAACGAUACAAGUGAGAGUCUUCUAUAGACCUCAGAUAAGGUAAAAGCAUCUUAUGCUUACAGGUGGACGGCUAUUAUUUUGCCGACAAAGUGUGGGUCCCUAUUGAUUAAGACUAGACUCGUACAGCAAAGAUCCCAUCUGAGUGGAAGGCAUAUUUUGACUUAUUUCUCAUGCUUAUCUAUUCUUUAAUAAAGUAAGCAUAUACAAGAAAAAAGUGGGCAUUCCCACUAUAAUUAAUUUAAGACAAGGCCAUGUGCUUGGCCCUACUCGGAUUCCUUUUAGGAAUAGUAAAACGUCCUUUGGAGAAAAGUAAUUCCAGUUCUUUGAACCUAAGGCCAUGUGCUUGGCCCUACUCGGAUUCUGUUUAGAAAUAGUAAAACAUCAUUUGGAGAAAACUAAUUCCGCUUCUUUGAACCUCUACUUUUAUUCAAGGGCGAGAAUUCCUAUUCGUAAUAGGUAUCCAGGUAAGCAUGUGCUAUGCCUUUAGGACAACACAUAUCAUCAUUACUUGAUUCGGUUGAGGAGGCGGCUUCUUCAAUGAGCUGCAACAAAGUGGCUUCAUCCUGAUGUUCGAUAUCUUGAAGGGUUUGUUGAAGCUUCUUCUUGAUCUCGGCUUUGGAUGACUUUGACGAAGAGGACUGAGCAGUAGCUUUCUCCUUCUUCAGAGUAGGAGUUUUGGGUUUUGGAACCCAACCUUUAACUUUUAUCUCUAUGGAUAGAUACCUGAUACGAUCAAAUUCUGGGAUCUUAAAGUCCCAGCUGAUAAUAUAAGAAUCCAACCUUUAACCUUUUUCUCUUUGGAUAGGUACCUGAUACGGUCAAAUUUUGCGAUCUUAAAGUCCCAGCUAAUAAUAUUCGAUAUCCUUUUUAGGACAUAAUAUUUACACAUAUUAAUAUGAGUAGGAAACGUAGUUAUCUCCUGCUUGGUUUGGAACUUAUCAAACUUUUGCAGAAAAUGUUGAGGGAGGUUUUCCAAUUUUCCUCCGAAAGCUUUCAACCAAUCGUAAAACCACCUAGGAAUAGUGGUCUUUACUAGCUCAGGGCCAUAUUUAACAAACCAAGUGUGACUCGGCCUAAGAUACAUGAAAUUGUACCAUGCUUGCUUGUAGAUGUACCAGUUAUAUGUCUGAGGCUUGUGACUCAUGCUCAGAGGUACAUGAGUGAGUAGAUGGUCCACAUGCCAUUCAAACGGGGAGAGGAUCUUCUUAAUGGUGAAUUGGGACUAUAGGAUAAAAUCUGAAUUUCUUUCAGAAUAAACAUGUUCGAUUUCUAUGGAAUCGGUAUCAACUAGAAUAGCCUCAAAAUAGAGGCAAGUAUGUAAAGAAUCAGGACUAUCUACGUAGUUUCAAUUGUUGUAACAAGGUUUUACUAAAUCUUGAACCCUACCAGUUUCGAAUUCUUUAUCGAGGGCCAAAAUAGGGAAAACUCUACUGGUUAGGUACACGAAAGGCUCUUGUGCCUGAGAGGAAGGACUCCAACCUUUGGGUCCACAGCCUGGGCGAAGGACUCAAGGGUCAUCAUCUCGUAACUCUGUUUACUUUGGACCUUGGAAGCAGAUCCAGACGAGGGCUAGGCCUGUAGGUACAAAAGGUCUAGCGGACGAAAGCUGCCUUUCGGGUCUCUUGUGCCUGAGAGGAAGGACGUUGGACCUUCGGGUCAACAGCCUGGGCGAAGGACUCAGGGGUCUUCAUCUCGUAACUCUGUUUACUUUGGACCUUGGAAGUAGAUCCAGACGAGGAUUCAGGUUUUGGGCCUGUAAGUUUGGGGAUGUCUCCAAGGACAGUAAAUUUGUUUUGAGAUGGGCUUUGGGCCGGACUAGGUAAAAUUUGUUUACUAAAUCAUCUUGAAAUUUAGUAAUACAUAGUACAAUAGACAAAACUUCCUUUUUGACUGUACUAUAAUUUUUCUUGGUAGAAUUCCAGACACCAGAAGUAAACCUCACAAGUUGCUCACAACUAUCCGGGUUGACGCGCUGUUUAAGGAUGCCUCCAUAUCCUAUAUCAGAAGCAUCUGUUUCUACUAUCAUAAAUGCACGGGUUGACGCGCUGUUUAAGGAUGCCUCCAUAUCCUAUAUCAGAUGCAUCGGGAUUAGGUAUCCGUAGACAAGGAAGAUAUUGAACUAAUCUCUUAAUUCUUUGGACACUCUGGGUCUGUUCUUCUCCCCAAGGUGCUGGGUUUUUUAUAAGCCUAUAGUAUAAUGGCUCACAGACUUGCCUAAUCUUUGGGAUGAAAUCAGCAACAUAAUUAAGACUUCCUAAAAAUCUCUGAAGCUGAGUUUUAUCCUUAAUUUCAUCACGGAAUUUAGAAGAGAAUUCCAUGGCUCUACAAAUAGGCCUAUGGGUACCUUGAUAAAGAUCAUGACCUAAGAAUCUAAUCGAGGUUUGAAAGAGCUCAAUUUUCUUAGCACUAAGAACCAAGCCAUUGUUUUAUACAACAUUAAAGAAAGCAUUGAGAUGUUUAAAAUGAGAAUCAAUGUCCUCAGAAAAAAUCAACACUUCAUCAAUAUAAACUAUUGACAUAUAAUAAUAAGGAUUAAAUACGCUAUUCAUAAUAUUUUGAAAUUCAGAAGGCGCUUUUUUUAACCCAAAUGGCAUAACAUUCCAUUCGUAAUGCCCAAAAGGAACAUUCAAUCCAGUUUUAUACCCAUCUUCAUUCUUAAUUUAGAUUUGCCAGAAUCCAAACUUCAUAUCGAACUUACUAUAAAGGUUUGCUUUAUAAGUUCGUUUAAGAAAAUCUCUUUAGUUGGGGAUUGGAUGGCGGAUCCAUUUGAGGAUAGAGUUCAGGGGCAUAUAAUUAUAUACAAGCCUGGGUGCUCCUCUUUCUUUCUCUGCACUAUUGUUAACAUAGAAUGCAGAGCAACUAUUCAGGGGCUUAUAAUUAAUUACGAGCCUGGGUGCUCCUCUUUCUUUCUCUGCACUAUUGUUUGCAUAGAAUGCAGAGCAACUACAAGGAGAGUUAGAGAGGCGGAUUAUACCAUUAUCAAGCAAAUGGUUAAUCUCAUUUUUGCAAACCUCCAACAUCUCUUGAUUCAUAUGAAUCGGUCUAGCCUUUGUAGGGAUAUUCCGUUCAUCAAAACCAUCAAUGUACGGGAGUGCAACAGAAUGCUUUUUUACAGUCCAAAAAGCAGAAGGCAAAUUAGAACAAACUUCAUUUUUAAAUUUUCUUUGGAGGGAAUCGAUCUUAGCCACCAUUCCCGGGGUUUUUAAAGUUUGUUUAAUUUGUUCAUUCUUUAUUUCUUCUUUGAGAAAAUAAAUAUGAUUAGAAAGGCGAUUAAUUUUAAAAAUAGUUUUAUUUUUCAAAAACAAACUUUCUUCAAGAGAAAGGGAUUUAACAAAUGGGAAAAACACCAUUUGACCAAGGAUACAUGCAUGAAUGCCAUCUAAAUCAUCAGUAUAUGGUUUUAUCUGAUUUAUGAAAGGCAGACCAAGAAUAAUAUCUUCAUUAAUAUUUUCUGUAAUCACAAAAUCGUUCGUAAAGCAAAUAUUAUUAUUACAAAUAUGCGCUUUAGAAAAUUUGUAAUCUAUUUUCAUUCGCUCUUCUGUAGCGGAAUACAAACGAGUAGUACCUCUCUCAAGGUACUUAAGAGGAAUGAGGCCUUUCACAAUACAAUUGCGAUCAGCUCCACUAUUAAACAAUGCAAUCUUGAUAUGCACAAAGUCUUUUGCAAUUACUAAUUUAAUAGGAAUAUGCUGACUGAGAGAUUUAAUGGUGGACACAGAAGGACUGGCUUCUUUCAGAAGACCGGGAUCAAUUGAUUCUCCAGGGAAGUUAGAAGUAGGUUCUAGUUCAGCAAAAGAAACAGAUUUUUCUUUAUCUGUUGCAGGAACUUCUCUAAGGGCUUGAGAAGUAAGGGCCUCAAGAUCAAUCUUAUCAAGACGAGACUUCAUAUCUCUAACCUCCUAUAAGAACUUGAGAAGUAAUGGCCUCAAGCUCAAUCUUAUCAAGACGAGACUUCAUAUCUCUGACCUCCUGCUUAAGGGAAUUCAUUUCUCUAUGCAAGUCUGAGACAGAGGGCUCAACAGGUUUAUCGAACCUAGAGAAAACCUGGUUCAUACUAAAAGGUUCUAUGACCUUAGAAUGAUAAGGUUUCUUUUGGUUUGAAUUAAGGAUAAUCUUCUUAUGUUCAGCAAGAUACCUGGAUAUAGACUCAUCAUUCUUGAUGUGGUCAAUGAUAUCAAAGAGAACUUCUUUAGAAUCCUCAGUAAUCGUACUAAUGGUAUUUGAAUUACAAUCACAGAAAAUACCUUCGCACGAUCCUUCACAAGAGUCAUCCUGUUCUGAUUGACUCUCAUCAGUCUCAUAUGCGAUGUUGAUAUUCUCUUUACCUUCGCACGAUCCUUCAUAAGAGUCAUCCUGUUCUAAUUGACUCUCAUCAAUCUCAUAUGCGACAUUGAUAAUCUCUUCGUCACUCUAUUCGUCCGAAGAGGUAUUAUUAGAAGCAGAAUCACUCUCUUGGAGGAUAGAAAAGAUUUUUUCCUUAGUAUCAUCAUCUAAUCCUAAGAGAUUAAUUUUCUUUUUCUUCUUAGAAAACUUACACUGGUUGGCUCUAUGUCCAGACUUACCACAGUUCCAACACACAUCUUCUUUAUGGGAAGGUCUACGCUUCCUGAAUUUCUUCUUGGGUUGGUCUGACAUGUCCUUAGAAGUAUUCUUUCUAGGUCUCCUAGAUUUAUACGAAGACUUCUUAGAUUUCUUCUUGGCCAUCUUAGAAGGGGGAGGAUCUACAUUACCGAACCCAAAAUCACGGCAAAAACUGCCUAAUUCGGCUCUAGAGGUCAUCCUAUCAUUUUUAAGGUGACUCUUAAGCUUGAGGUCAGUACACAGUUCUAAAGCUGUGGUAUUAAUGAGGCUAAUAAUGUCUCCAUAAGUCAUCUGGUCAUAGAGCACUUUACCACCGCACCUAUCUCUGAUUUUUUAUCUAACCUUUUCGGCAAAAAGAGGGGGAAGACCGCUAAUGAAUCUAGCUUCAGGUCAGUACACAGUUCUAAAGCUGUGGUAUUAAUGAGGCUAAUAAUGUCUCCAUAUGUCAUCUGGUCAUAGGGCAUCUUACCACCGCACCUAUCUCUGAUUUUAUAUCUAACCUUUUCGGCAAAAAGAGGGGGAAGACCGCUAAUGAAUCUCUCUUUCCAGAAGUCACUAUUACAGUCUGGUCUGGUCAUAAUCUUAACCAUAAACUGAUCCUUAUACCACCUAAAGUCACUUAAUUUAGGACAUCUAAGGUUAUUAAGGAUUUAGUCACUAUUACAGUCGGGUCUGGUCAUAAUCUUAACAAUAAAGUGAUCCUUAUACCACCUAAAGUAACUUAAUUUAGGACACCUAAGGUUAUUAAGGAUUUCUAGACUCCUAUCUUGGAAGAGUUUUGGCUCACAUACAAAGUGUUUAGCAAUGUGGUAGAGCACAGUGGCACAAGCAUCCUCACGAGUCUCAGAUUCCUGAGUUUCCAUACCACUGUUAGUUUUAAUAGUGGUAAUGAUCGUGGUUGCACUGAGAAUGUGUUGCUUAAGUUCUUCGGUGACAUAAUUAUCCCACCAGUACCUAAGCAUUCCGGUAAAGCCAGCUGUGAUCAUAACAGCUGCUUCUUUAUCGGAGGAACUAUGCAGCUUAUAGCUAUCUCCACACGACGGGCCAUAUUGGCCGCCUCCUGAAAAGUAAUAUCACUGCCAACCCCCACUGCCAUAUGUAGGCGAAUGGGAUGAAUCAAUCCGCCAAUGAACCUCCGGACCCUCACUCGAUCAGUAGGGAGUAUCACUACUGCAUGGCGUGCCAAGUCAACAGUCCUGGUCUCAUAUUGUGCAACUGUCAUAGAACCUUCAUGAAGAUGCUCAAACUGUCUACGAAAUGCCUCCCGCAAAGUGACGGGGAGAAACUUCUCCAAAAAUAACUCUGCAAACUGAUCCAUGUCAAAGCUGGGGACCCUGCUGGUCUAGACAGACAAUAAUCUCUCCACCAAGUCUUGGCNNNNNNNNNNNNNNNNNNNNNNNNNNNNNNNNNNNNNNNNNNNNNNNNNNNNNNNNNNNNNNNNNNNNNNNNNNNNNNNNNNNNNNNNNNNNNNNNNNNNNNNNNNNNNNNNNNNNNNNNNAGUCGACCCCAUUGGUCUCCACUAUCCCCAUAGUCCUGAGGAUCUCAUGACAACUGAACAGAAAAUCCUGGGGAUCCUCCGAUGAAGCACCGCUAAAGUGGUAGUGAAAAGCUUGGAGAACCAAUCAAGUCUCCACAAAGCAUCCGAAAUCAUGGCCGACCCAUCUCCGACCUGAGAUGUAAUACUUGUCUGAGCCACCACUGCGGGAAGAACCAAGGGAACCUGAGUCUGGGGAGCUACCUGCUCCGGAGUACGUGUAGCAGGAGUCUGAAGCCCUCCUCCAGCCUGAGAAGUGGCUGGUUCUACUGGCACCAAUUCCGCUCUAGCCAUACUAUCUAUAAAGCCUGUUAUGCAGACAAGGGCAUCCUGAAGAUCCGAAGAAAACAUCACUCCUGCUGGGCCCACUGGAGCUGGUAGAGCUGGAACCUCCUAAUCAAAGUCAAUAUGAGACUCCACCUGGAACUGCUGCCUGGGGCUGAGCUCUGCCCCUGCCACGACCUCGGCCCUUGCCCCUUGUGGGAGCUGCUGUUAGGGGCUCGGGCUGUUCCGCGGAAGAAGAAGACGCAUGUGUUCUAGCCAUCUACCAAAGAACAGAGUAUAACAACAAUCAAUACUUGAGAAACAAAAUCGCACAACAAGAAUGAACAAAGUGAAACUUUCCUAACUCAGUAGCCUCUGGGGUAAAUACAGACGUCUCUGUACCGAUCCCUCAGACUCUACCGGGCUUGUCCGUGAGUUGUGAUAUCCAAGUAACCUAGUGCUCUGAUACCAACUUGUCACGACCCGAAUUUACCCACCAUCGGGAGUCGUUAUGGCACCUACUUUCGAAGCUAGGCAAGCCAAACCUUAUAAACAUUUCCAGAAAAUUUCAAUCUAAAACAAAUUAAAUGCUAAAAUAAUUAGUUAAAACAUGCGGAAGACGUCUAAUAACAAUAACGAAAAUAAUAUGCGGAAAACUAAUAACCAAUCUCUACCCAAUAUCUGGUGUCACUGCUCACGGACAACUAAAGAGUGCUAAAAAUAAUAGUCUGAAAGAAGUACAUAGCAUGUCUGUUUGAUACAAUUUAACAAACUGAAAGGGAAAAAUAGAGGAGACUCGGGGCCCGCAAAUGCCUGCGAACUACCUCAGAGCCUCUGGACUGAAGGAUCACUCCCGAUCUAAAGCUGCGGUUCGUAGGCUGGGUCCUGACCUGUGCACAAAAAGGCACAGAAGCAUAGUAUUAGCACAACCGACCCCAUGUGCUGGUAAGUGCCUGGCCUAACCUCGGCGAGGUAGUUUCGAGGCUAAACCGGACCUACCACAAACAAGCUGUACAGAUAUAUGCAAUAACAGAAAGAGAACAAGAAUUUAAGCAAAUAAAAAGGAAAGGGGACAUGCUGGGGGAGUAACCUACCAUAAACAACCUGUAAAGAUAUAUACGAUAACUGAAAAGGAAAACAAGAAUUUAAACAACAAAAAGGGAGGGGACAUGAUGGGGGGAAUAUCAGUUCAAUUAUAACUUUUACAAUUAAGAGAUGGAACUGAAUAGAUAGCAUUUAAAUAAGAGAAUCUAAACAGCCUCUCUGCCCUUUCGGGUAGGGGUAAGGCUCGUCUACAUAUUACCCUCCCAGACCCCACUUUAUGAGACAUUACUAGGUAGUUGUUGUUGUUGUUGUUGUAAUGAAACAACAACUAAUAAAUGAAAAAUAGAAUAAGGAACACCAAUAAGGUAAGACCAAUAAAACCACAUUGCACGGCACCACCCGUCGUGCUUUUACUCUCGUCCUUACCUAUAUAAUACUCCAUCUUGUGGAGGGGAUCAAUAAAUACCACUCCAUCUUGUGGAGGAAAUCAAUAAAUACCACUCCAUCUGGUGGAGAAAAUCGAUAAAUACCACUCCGUCUUGUGGAGGAAAUCAAUAUAUAUCACUCCAUCUUGUGGAGGAAAUAAAUAAGUACACGGCAUCACCCAUCUUGCUUUAUCGCUCCUCCUCCCCCAAACAAUAAUCACAAUUAAUGGGAAAAGGAGUAAACAACAAGAUUAACCAUCCCGGCAGGGGAGAACAAUGCAACAACAAGUCCCGCAAGGGAAACAAUUUAACAACAAGUUCCGGCAAGGAAAACAGUUUAACAACAAGUCCCGGCAAGGGAAACAGUUUAAUAACAAGUCCCAGCAAGGGAAAAACAUCAACAACUUGCAAGGGAGAACAAUGCAACAACUAGUCCCGCAAGGGGAACAAUUUAACAACAAGUUCCGGCAAGGGAAACAGUUUAACAACAAGUCCCGGCAAGGGAAACAGUAUAACAACAAGUCCCGGCAAGGGACAACAUCAACAACUCAUCUCUAGUUCAUUUACUUCUCAUUUUUCACUUCAUAGCUCUUAUACAAGAAUUUAUCUCAAUUGUUCACUUCUUUCACAAUUCAAAUAACAAUUGACAACACGGUCAUGCUCGAGUCGGGCGCAUAGGUAAGCGUCACCAUACCUAUAAACCGACACCACAUAGCACAUAGCAAUUAACAACCUAAUCCUAUUCCCUCAAGCCAAAGUUAGAUCGAACAACGGUCGUGCUAGACACUGGUACAUAGAUACUCGUCACCAUGCUAAUACACCAUACACGAUCAUUUAGCAAAUAGCAAUCAAAUACUCUAAUCAUAUUCCCUCAAGCCAAAGUUAGAUCAACACUUACCUCGACGGCUUCCAACUCAACUCACGCCUCUAGAAUAGCUAUACCCCUCAAAUUCGCUUCAAAACCGGUCGAAUCUAACCACAAUUUACUCAAAUGUACCAACAAAUGCUAGUUAAAUCAAUUUGAAUGCAUAAGAAUGAAAUUCCCAAAGUUUAACCCGAAAAUUUCAAAAAUGCCCCCGGGCCCACGUGGUCAAAACUCGAGAUUCGAACCAAAAUCAGGUUACCCAUUCCCCCACGAGUUCAUAUAUGCAAUUUAUUUUGAAAUCGGAACCCAAAAAUUCCCAAAAUACUCAGUGCCCACGUGGUCAAAACUCGAGAUUCGAACCAAACCUGGUAGUCCAUUCCCCCACGAGUUCAUUUAUGCAAUUUGUUAUGAAAUCGGACCCCAAAUUGAGGUCCAAAUUCCCAAUUUUAUGAAAACCUAGGUUCUACCCCANNNNNNNNNNNNNNNNNNNNNNNNNNNNNNNNNNNNNNNNNNNNNNNNNNNNNNNNNNNNNNNNNNNNNNNNNNNNNNNNNNNNNNNNNNNNNNNNNNNNNNNNNNNNNNNNNNNNNNNNNNNNNNNNNNNNNNNNNNNAUAUGAUAAAGAUUGAAGAAAACUAGUAAAAAUUGACUUACAUUUGGUUUGGGGAUGAAAGGGUUCGAGAGGAAUCGCCUAUGGUGGUUUUGGGUUUGGAGAGAUAUGAAAAAUGAGGUCUGAAUUCGUUUAUGUAACAGUUGUAGGGUUGCAGAUGUCGCAAUUACGACAUUGAUUUCGCAUUUGCCAACUGGGUAAAAUAAAAGAGGACCUCACAAUUGCGAGAAAUAGUUCGCAAUUGUGAACUGGGGAAAAUUGAAAGGAACUCGCAUUUGCGAGAAAAUGUUCUCAAAUGCGAACAGGGAAAAAUAAAAGGGGACCUCGCAAUUGCGAGAAAUAUUUCGCAAUUGCGAACUAGGGAAAAUUGAAAGGGAACUCGCAUUUGCGAGAAAACGUUCCCAAAUGCGGACUAGGGUUGGACUUGUGAAAACUGGCAUUUGCAAUAUGGAACUUCGCAUUUGCUAAGACUGGCAAAGGAAGGGGGGAAUCGCAUUUGCGAUUUUUUAUUCUCGCAUUUGCGAAGAAGCAAUCCAAGGGAAGAGCUCGCAAUUGCGAGGCAGGCUUCACAAUUGCGAAACCUACAGACACCAGAUGAUAAAAAUGCAGCAAAAUGAGCCUAACACCUAUCCGAAACUCACCCGAGCCCUCGAGGCUCCAACCCAAACAUGAACCCAACUUCAAAAAUAUCCUACGGACUUACUAAAAUGAGCCUAACACCUAUCUGAAACUCACCCGAGCCCUCGGGGUUCCAACCCACACAUGCACCCAGCCUCAAAAACAUCCUACAGACUUACUCGUGCGAUCAAAUUACCAAAAUAAUAUCUAAAUCAAAGAAUCAACCUCCAAAACCCAUGAUUUUCAUUUCAAGUUCAAGACUUUCAAAAUUUUCCACUUUUCGUCCGAAACACAUCAAACGACGUACGUUUUCAACCAAACUUUACAAAUAGCGCGUAGCACCCAUUUAAGACUUGCACCGAGUGUCGGAACUAAUCCAAAACACGUCAAACGACGUCCGUUUUCAAUCAAACUUUACAGAUAGCGCUUAGCGCCCAUUUAAGACUUGUACCGGGCGUCUGAACCAAAAUACAAGCCCGAUACUAUCACUUUUGAUAAAUUUCCAUUUCCAAUUUUCUUUAAGUAUUUUCAAAAACAAUUUCACAGAAAAGCUCUGUACUCGGGCCUGGGACCUUGGAUUUCAAUUCCGGGAACACGACCGGGUCCCAAAUUUCAUUACGGACCCUCCAGGACCGUCACAUCAUGGGUCUAGGUCUGUUUACCUAUAACAUCGACCAAAGUCAACCAUAGCAAUAUUAGUAUCAAAAUUCAUAACUUUUAACGCAGAGAUCAAAUAUUUUUACAUAAAAAUCUUCUGGCUUCGCUCCCGGACUGCGCAUACCAAUCGAGGUAACCAAAUAAGAGAUUUUCAAGGCCUCAGAAGUGCAAGAAAAGGGAGAAUUACGGUGCUGACCCAUUGGGUCAUCAUAAUUAAUUAGCAAAUUAGUUAUUUUAUAAAAAAGGAAAAAUCAACAACAAAAGAAACCUAUUUUUGCACCUUUUAAGUUUAGUUUUGUUUUUUGGUAAUUAUUCCUUUAAUUUGGUUUUGUUUAAUUAAUUAUGGUAAUUAUUAUUUAGGGUUAAUUAGUUUAAUUUAGUAGGAUAAUUUGAUUUGGGGAUUAGUUAAGAUUUUUAUUCUAAUUUUGAAAAGAAAAAAAAUCGAAAUAGUUAAAAGGAAAAGAAGUAGAGAAAUAAGAUUUUUGGGCCAUUUCCUUUAAAUUUUUAGCCCAAUUCAAUUAAACCUGCCAACCCAGUCCAAAGGUCUUCCCAUAAUCGGUACCCCCCUCCCCCACGCACACACUUAAACAAAAUGACCAUGAUUUGUCGGCAUCCAAUCUGAGCCGCUGCUUUCCUUCAAAUCCGACGACUAGGAACUAGGCAUUUAAUUACUAUAAGAGUGUCUGAACCUUGUCUCCCCCCCCCCCCNNNNNNNNNNNNNNNNNNNNNNNNNNNNNNNNNNNNNNNNNNNNNNNNNNNNNNNNNCCCCCCCCCCCUCUCAUCGUCUCUCAUUCUUCCCCCAACCUUCAGAGACUCAAGAAUGAACCUUAACUGCCACCCUCAAAUGCUCCACCAUCAUCCGCCGGCGGUGCCACCUUCAAUCACUCCCAAACUAACACCCUGAAACCCCCAUGACCCCCUUAUACUGAAUCCACAACUCUCUUCCCUCGAAUCAUCCUUGAACUCCUCAAAUUUUUAAUCAAAGAUAUGAACCCUAAAAUCCCCAAAGUCCCGGAUUUACUUUUUCUUGAAAAUUUAGGCAUAUGUCGACUUUAUUCCUGUGUUCUUGCUAAGAACACACGAUUAAUAUCGAAUUGGGCCAAAAAUCGAAAGGAUUUGAAGAUCCGACAUUCGCUUCUUACUACUCCGAGUUUGUUUUAGGUAUUCUCUCUUCUUUACCUUUUUGUUAUUUAAUUUUUGUUUCUUUGUUCUUUUCUCAUCUUCUCCUACUCUUUCUGUUAGUUUUCUGAUUUUACUUCCCAUUUUCUUUCAUUCCUUCACACCGUUCUAUAUUUGCAAUUUUAGGUUGUGUUUUAGUUAUUAUUUGUGUUCUGGUGCUAAACUUAGAGGUAUUAGAUUUUGUUUCUGUUUAGGGUCCAAGUUUUUCGAGUCUUGAGACUCUGUAAUUGAAUAUUCUAAAUACUUUUGGGUUUUCAGUCUUGAUUUGAAUUGGAAAUUCAAACGGCCCAAUAGAGAGUUGAAUUGGGUUUUCAACAGAACCAUCAACACUUCGAUGUGGGUCAACUUGACCCGUAUUUUGUCCUAGGGGGUAAUUUUCAGGGUCUUGGGGGUAAUUUAGGAAUUCUAGGGGCAAGGGAAUCUCAGUAACAGACUAAGAAGCUUCUAGGAAGCUGGGUAUUGGGACUAAUAUGAAAAAUUAUUUUUAAACUAAGGUCUCCUAAGCUAAAAUAAAAAUUUCAGAAGGGGAAAUAUUAAUUUCUUUGAGGCUGCCCUAGAACCUUGCUGGUAUUAUUUUUAAACUAAGGGCUCUUAAGCUAAAAUAAAAUUUUCACAAGGGGAAAAAAAUUAAUUUCUUUGAGGCUGCCCAAGAACCUUGCUGAUAAAGGCUCCCUAACUUGACAUUCCAGGCAGAAAUUAGAGAAGUAAAAAUCCAAAAGAAAAUAGAACAGCUAAAAAUUCUGAACUACACUGAUUUUCCAGCAUUUCUUUUGAUGAAAAUUGAUCACAAUUUUGUCUAGCUUGGAUUUUCUGGUUCUUUCCCACUAGUUGGAACCUCUAAAAUUUUUAUAUCUUGCACAUUCUGGGGUUGAAAUGGAUUAAAGUUGGGUUUUCAAAGUCUGGUUUAAGUUUGUUGGUUGGUUACUAUUUCAUUGAUUCUGGGCACUAUUUCAUUGCUUCUCUAUUGCUGCUCAUCUACUGAUUUCUCACUCCUUUUGUUUCCCUUCAAUUUUAAGGUAUUCCUAUAAAUCAUGGAUAGCAAAAGGUUGUAAACCUGCAAAUUUGAGUGAAAAUUUUACUGAAUGUGAAAUCAUUUUGAGCUUUGCUUAUUAGUUUUCUUCUAUCUUUAUGUAGCAUUUUUGUAGAGAUUCUAAAGUUAUAUAUGCUAUCUUCAGUUUUCUUUCACCAUGUUUAAUAUAUUUUAAAGACAAAUUAACGCUAAUUGAGGGUGAGAUUAAAUAUGUUAUUUUUAUUGAAUUAUGGACUCUAGUUACUCAGUUUUAAACGAGCUUGAGCGUGUCGGAUAAAGGAGUUGUUAGGGCAUUUGCAUCAGAAGUCCAAUUUGAUGCUUUGAGUUAUGGACUUUUGUGUAGUUUUUGCUAAAUAGCAGUAUUUGUUUCAACUCUUAUGUCCAUUUGAAUUCGUCAAAAUGUUAAGUAUUUAUUUAUAUGUUUGUGUUAAUUUACCCAGAUCCUUUUUUACAAGCAUGAUCAUUUUGGAGAUAAGUUUAGAAUUAUUUUGAAACUAGUUGGCAUGAUGAUCAAAUGAUUGCUUGAUUUGGAAUUUCUUUUUAGUCAGAAUGUUUGUCUACUCAUUUCAUGUUGGAAUAACUAAAAUCAGAAAGCUAGAUAGGUAAUUGAUGUUUGAUAUUUUAAAAUCAGAGUUUAAAUUUGCUAAGUCGAUUUCACGUUCCAAAUUAACAUCAAUUGAUUGGCGUAAUAAUUUGGAGCAUAAGACUGAGCCUAGCACAUGCCAGCUGAAGAGUAGUCGAAUACAGACCGGACAUUUUUCCUCAUCAUAAAUUGGGCUUAGUUUGAGCCCAAAGCUUGACGACAUUUUUAAAGGGGUCUGUUCAGUUGUAUGAGUGAAGUAGUUUCCUUUUGGCCAUUUGGUUCUUUAAUACGACAUGCUUUUAGUAAAUUAGUAGGGUAGAACCUUUAGCUAAUAAUAAUUAGAAUUCCCAUAUGUUUCCCUUAAUUAAUUAAUUAGGUCUUUAAUUAGUUGAGGUAUGCCAUUCGACACAACAAUAAUAGUUUAUGGCCCUCAUACUAAUUUCACAACUUAGAUAUAAAAAUGAUCAAAUGUUCGUAGUUUGCUUUAAGCACAUUUAAUGUACCAUUGUGAUUGUGGAUACGUCCCCGUAACAUGAUUGCAAAUUCAAAAAAUAAAACCAGAGUGUGCGUUCGCUCAACUUCGGCCAAACUUUCUUAAUAAUAAUGAAGCGUUAUUAAUUGUGGACACGUUAACGUGACAUGAUAUUUUACGCACUAAACAAACAGAUACACGUAAGCGUGACCCAUUUCAAGAUAAUUUUCUUAAUUAAAAAGUGGCAAAAGGCAAGAGCACAUAGGUUCUAAAAUGGGUAAUUCAAUAAUUUAAUAAGCCAAGUAUGAUCAAAGCGACACUGCUAGAACCACGAAACUCGUGAAUGCCUAAUACCUUCUCCCGGGUUAACAGAAUUUCUUACCCAGAUUCUGUGUUCCGGACCGUAAAUAGAGUCAAAUAAAUUAUCUCAAGUGGUGACUCUGAUUCUUAAAUAAAUAAUCCUGUCUCGAUUGUCAUUUAAAUUGGAAAUCCCUUAUACCCUACCGGGGUUGUAGGAAAAAAGGAGGUGUGACAAUAUAUAAAUAUCUGAGGAGUAGUUAUUCAUAGCAAUACCCAAUAUUCUCUCUUAGAAGACCAAAUAGGAUAAGGUUUCUUCACUAGUCACAUUUACCUUAAUCAAAAUAGUUUAUACGGAUCUGAAUUUCUCAUCAAGCUAAAAGAAUAUCAGUUAGAGCAUGCUUAUGGGUCCUAGACUACCCGGACUUAAUAUAAUAGUCGCUAUGCACGGAUUCUCGUCACCUAGUACGUACGUAGCCCCCGCAUAUAAUGGAAAUUAAUUUUAUUAUCAAACCUAUGGGGACAAUUCCCUCUUACAAGAUUAGAAAUUAGACUCACCUUGCUCCAACGUGCACUUCCAAUAUGAAGAACGAGUCCAGGCCCUCAUUCGGAGCCGAAAGAUCCCGAACUAGUUAAACAAAGUAAGAACUAGUUAAUAUAGACUCACAAGAUCGAGAUCUGGCUAUUUAAGAAAAUUUCCCAACCAUUAACACAAGUUUCAUAAAAUACGAUCCUGGGCCCACGUGCCCGGAUUCCGAGAUUUUUCGAAGGAAGUUGUUCUCCACAUGCUAAGGAUCAAUAAUAUAUGGUUUCUAAUUUACUCCACAACAAAUUUCGUUGUUAAAUCUAACUUUUAUUAGAACCUUGGGUUUUUGCUCUAACUCCAUGAUUUCCCUUAAUACUACUGUUUAAUCUACCUAAUACAUAAUUAUUAAACUAGAAAUAGGUAGAACACACUUACCUCAAGAUGCUAGGUAAAGUUCUUCUCUCAAAGCUCUAAAAUUGCCUAAUGGAGGACAUAGAACCCCUAUUAAAUGAACCUUACUGCUUCACCAAUUUCCGCAUCUGUUGUCCUGCAUCUGCAAGGAAAGGACCGCAUCUGCAAAAUAGGCCAAAAGAGCUGGGACCGCUUUUACGGUCUGAAGGCCGCAUCUGCGGAGCCAGUUCUGCGAUUCCUGGCCCGAUUGCCCUAGGCAACUUCUGCGAUUCCUAGUUUGACUGCCCUAGGCCGCUUCUGCAGUCUCGCACCUGUAGUCCAUUAACUGCAGAUGUGGUUAUGACAGAAGCAGCAAACUUCAGCUCUUCUCAAAAAAUUCCGAACCGCUCGAGCCUCGUCCGAUUGAUGCUCGGGGCUCCCGAGCCCUGCCAGGACGUACCGACAAGCCUGAAAUCAUGAGAUGAACCUACUCAAACCUUCGGAACACCCGAAACAAUGCUAAAUCUCAUGAAAAAAACAUAUAAACUUCAUAUUCUAAUUAUCCUCCAACAGGCCAAAACGCCCUUGAACCACUUGGAUAGACACCAAAUUAUGCAGGCAAGUCAUAAAUGAUAUUUUGGACCUGUAUCGGACUUCAAAACCAACAUAAGAACCUGAUGCCUAUGAAACAAUCACUAAUUAGUUUCUUUAAAUCCUUAAAACCUUAGAUUAACAAUUUCUAAUGAAAAUUCAUAACUCGGGCUAGGAACCUCGGAAUUCGAUUCCGGGCAUACGCCCAGGUUCUAUAUUUUCCUACGGACCUUCAGAGAUGGUCAAAUCACGAAUUCGAGUUCAUUUGCUCAAAAUCUUAGCUAAGUAGAUUUUUAAAAAAGUUCUAAGGAAUCGAAAGGGCAUAUGUCACUCCAAACUCUUCCAAAUCCCGAACUAACCCAUCCUCCCCGUAAAUUAGCUAAAGCAAGCAUGAUGAGUUUUAUUUAAGGGAACGGGGUUCUAAAAGGCAAAAUGACUAGUCACAUCGUUACAUUCUCCACCUCUUAAACAAACGUUCGUCCUCGAACAGACAUAGAAAAGUGCUUGAGCUGCUGAAUAAAUAGGGGUAUCUGCUCCAUAUGUCCUUCUCGGACUCCCAGGCCGCCUCCUUGACUGGUUGGCCCCUACACUGGACCUUUACCGCAAAAAUCAUCUUGGAUCUCAACUGGUGAUCCUGUCUACUAAUAAUGGCAAAUGGAUCCUCCUCACAGCCCAAGCUCUCAUCCAGCCGAAUAGUACUGAAGUCUAACGCAUGGGACAAGUUGGCAUGAUACUUUCAAAGCAUCACCACAUGAAAAAUUGGAUGGACUCUUGAUAAGCCAGGGGAAAUGCAAGCUCAUUGGCAACCUCCCCAACCCUCCUCAACACCUCAAAGGGACCAAUAACCUUGGGCUCAACUUUCCCUUCUUCCCAAACCUCAUAAUGCCUUCAUUAGCGAGACUUUCAAGAGAACCUUAUUGCCAACCAUAAAUGAUACAUCACGGCGUCUAAUCCAUGUAACUCUUCUGUCUAGACUAUGCUGUAAGAAGGUACCAUAUAAAUUAGCCUCGCCAGGCUCGAACCACCCGAUAGGAGAACGAUAACGACGACCAUAUAAAGCCUCAUAUGGAGACAUAUAUAUACUGGACUGAUAGUUGUUGUUAUAUACAAACUCCACCAAUGGCAAGAACUGAUCCCACUGCCCUUCAAAGUCAAUCACACAUGCCCUAAGCAUGUCCUCCAAUAUCUAAACUGUCCGCUCUGACUGCUCGUCAAGCUGAGGAUGGAAUGCUAUGCUGAGCUCUACACGGGUCCCCAACUCACUCUUAACGGCUCUCCAAAAAUGGGAGGUGAACUGAGGGCCCCUAUCUGAUAUGAUAGAAACAGGCACACCGUGCAAUCGAACUAUCUCUCGAACAUAGAUCUGAGCAUACCCCUCUACUGUAUAAGUAGUCGCCACUCGAAUGAUGUGAUCCGACUUGGCAAACCUAUCAACAAUGACCCACACUAAAUUAAACUUCUGCAAAGGCCGCGGCGACCCAACUACAAAAUCUAUGGUGAUGCACUCCCAAUACCACUUUGGUAUAAGCAUCUGCUGAAGUAGACCACCGGCCUCUGGUGUUCAUACUUAACCUGUUGACAAUUCAAACACUUAGCCACAUACUCCACUGUGUAUUUAUUCAUCCUCCACCACCAAUAAUGUUGCCUCAAGUCGCGAUACAUCUUUGUAGCUCCCUAGUAUUAGAAUACCAUGAACUGUGUGCCUCCUCUGGGAUAUUUUCCCUCAUACCAUCAACAUUUGGGACACAUAACCGACCUUGGAGUCACAAAACACCAUCCUUUCCAAUUGAAAAUCCUUGGCACCUCUCUGAAGCACUGUCUCCCUAAAAACUGCCAAAUGUGGAUCAUUGAACUGCCGAGCCUUAAUCUGCCCCAUUAAUGAUGACUGAGCCACCACAUACGCAAGAGCUCAGCUGGGCUCUAAAAUGUCCAACCUCACAAGCAUGUUAGCCAAGGACUCAAUGUCUAGAGUUAGUGGCCUCUCCGCUGCUGGAAUGAAAUCCAAGCUACCCAUACUCUCUGCCUUUCAGCUCAAAGCAUCCGGGACCACAUUUGCGUUACCCGAAUGAUAAAGAAUGGUGAUGUCAUAAUCCUUUUGUAACUCAAGCCACAUGCAAUGCCUCAAAUUAAGAUCCCUUUUGCUUGAAUAAAUGUUGUAAGUUACAAUUAUCAGUAUAAACCUCACAUGACACCUCAUACAGAUAAUACCUUCAUAUCUUAAGAGCAUGAACAAUCGCGGCCAACUCUAGAUCAUGCAUAGGAUAAUUCUUCUCAUGAACCUUCAACUGACGUGAAGCAUAUGCAAUAACUCGCCCCUCUUGCAUCAAUACACAUCCUAAGCCAAUGCGUGAAGUGUCGCAGAAUACCAUAUACAUCCUCGAGAUGGAAGGCAAUACAAGAACUAGUGCUGUAGUCAAAGCUGUCUUGAGGUUCUGAAAGCUCUCCUCACAGUCAUCAUACCAACAGAAAGGGGCACCCUCAUGGGCCAAUCUAGUAAAAUGUGAUGCAAUAGAUGAAAAGCCCUGCCCAAAUCGCCUGUAAUAACCUGCUAUCCCCUGGAAACUCUUGAUCUCGGUUAUUGAGGUAGGAUGUGGCCAACUCUAAACUGCUUCAAUCUUCUUGGGAUCCACCUUAAUAUCCUCUGCACAAUGUGUCCUAAGAAUGCCACUGAUUCUAACCAAAAUUCACACUUGGGGAAUUUAGCAUAUAGCUUCUGUUCCCUCAAUGUCUGAAGCACUACUCUCAAAUGUUGCUCGUGCUCCCCAGGCUGCGAGAAUAUAUCAAGAUGUCGUCAAUGAAGACAAUAACAAAUGAAUCAAUAUAAGGCCUAAACACCAUGUUCAUCAAAUCCAUAAAUGCUGAUGGGGCGUUAGUGAAGCCAAAGGACAUCACAAAAAACUCAUAAUGGCCAUAUCUAGUCCGGAAUGCAGUCUUCGUCCCGAAUAUCACCUGAUGAUACCCUGUCCUCAAGUCUAUCUUAGAGAAUACUGUAGCACCCUAUUACUCGUCGAACAAAUCAUCAACAAGAGGCAACAGAUACUUGUUAUAGACGGUGAUUUUAUUCAACUAGCGGUAAUCGAUGCACAUCCGCAUAUUUCCACCUUCUUCCUCACGAAUAACACUAGUGCACCCCAAGGAGAUACACUGGGCCUAAGAAACCCUUUUACCAACAACUCCUCAAGCUGCUCCUUUAAAUCCGUCAACUCCUUAGGAGCCAUACAGUACGGUGGAAUAGAUAUAGGCUGGGUUACUGGAGCCAAAUCAAUACAGACAUCAAUAUCACGAUCUGAUGGCAUGCUAGGAAGAUCAGAGGGAAACACAUCGACAAACUCCGAAUUAUUAGAACUGAAUCAAUCGUUAAACAUGCGGUGGUGUCCCGAAUGUAAGCUACAUAAGAUAAACACCACUUCUCGACCAUAUGCCGAGCCUUUAGGAAAGAAAUAACCCAACUAGGUGUAUCGACUGUGGAAACCUUCCACUCCAACCUCGGCAACCCUGUCAUCACUAGUGAAACAAUCUUGGCAUGGCAAUCUAGGUCGGCCUGAUAUGGAGAUAACUAGUCCAUGCCCACUAUGACCUCAAAAUCGAUAAUAUCAAGCAACAGGAGAUCUGAUCUAGUCUCAAAACCACAGAAUGUGACCACACAGGAUUGGUAGAUCUGAUACACAACCACAGAAUCACCUACAGGAGUAAAUACAUGAACAGGAGUGCCCAAAGGCGCAGGAGAAAUACCCAAGAAACGAGCAAAUCGAUAUGAUACAUUUGAAUAAGUAGACCCUGGAUCAAAUAAUAUCAAAGAAUCUCUACCACCAACGGAAAUAAUACCUGUGAUGACAGCUUCUGAGGCCAAUGCAUCUGGCCAAGCCGGAAGGGCAUAGAAUCUGGCUGAAGCGGCGGUUGGAUGGCCUCCACCUGACUGAGCAGUAGCUGGCUGACCUCUCCCUGCCUGACCUCCACCUCUAGGGUGGCACCUGCUAGCUUGCCCUCCACCUCUAGGUGGCUGGGUAACUGGUGCUAAAAUCAUGGGUUACUGACCCUACUGCACUGCCUUGCCCUAAAGCCUGAGGCAGGUGCUUUUCAGGUGACUAACUAACUUGCCCUCCACCUCUAGGCGGCUAGGUAACUGGUGCUAAAAUCAUGGGUUACUGACCCUGCCGCACUGCCUUGCCCUAAAGCCUGAGGCAGGUUCUUUUCAGGUGACCGAAUCUCUAGACUUGUAGCACACUCUCGGUACCGUAGUCUGGUGCUCUAGAGUCUGAGCUUGCUGACCUGAAUACUCACUAGAAGAACAUUGGAUGGAUGGUGGGAGAUAGGAACUUUCUGGCACAGUGCUGAAGUGAGUACUAGAAAAAUCCUAAUAACCAGAAUACUAGCCGGAGGAACCCUAAAUAGCUGGUGGUCAGUAAGAACUUUCCAGCAUUGCACUGAAUAAGGUCUCACUGGAGCACCUAGGGAAGGGGAUGGUGGUGCUGAAUAUGAGGGUCUGCUGGGCUGGCCCCUCCCAAAAUGACCUCUACCCCUAGCUUGGGCAGGGGCACAUUUGAACUCGCCCUCUUGCCCUGCUAAAUCUGCUCUCUACCCCUCAGGCGAUACCCCUUAGUCCUGCGAGCAAUCUCUACAACUAGUUGAUACUCAGUAUCCAUCUCCAUCUCUCGGGCCAUGCUAGCUCGAAUACCGGGGUGAAACCCCGUAACAAAUCUCCACACUCUCUCUAUUUAUGUGGGAAGUAUCAUAAGUGCAUGGCAAGACAACUCAAAGAACCUCGCCUCAUAACCGGUCAUAAACAUCUAACCCUGCUGAAGAUGCUCAAAUUGGUGCCCUAGCUUUUCCCUCUUAGAGGGUGGAAUAUACCUAUCCAAGAACAACUGGGCGAACUGACCCCAGGUGAGGGGAGGAGAGCUUGUUGGCCCGCCUAGAAUAUAGGACUACCACCAUCUACGGGCCUUGCCCUUUAGCUGAAAAGUAAUGAAGUUGACUCCAUGUGACUCUAAUAUCCUCAUAUUAUGCAGUCUGUCCCUACACCUAUUGAUGAAGUGCUGGCAUCCUCAUGUCGCUCACCCCCAAGAUAAGAGGCAGAAGCCAAGUCCAUCUAUUCAAUAACUUCUGCGGAUCACCGUCCGCAGCUGGUCCGAGCGAAGGCGCGACUGAAGCAACUAGUUGGGCCCCAUCUACAGGUAGCUCACCCGGAGUCUGAUACAAUACAGUUGCAUGUCCAAGAGCAUGAGCAGUAGGGGUAGAUGCUCCCCCUCUUGCCUGUGAGGUAGCUGGAUCUAUUGGAAAUAAACCAGCCUAGGUCAUAGAAUCCAUGAACCGAAGCAUACGGCCCAUAACCUCCUGAAAUCCCGGUGUUGUCAUAAAGUAUGCUAGGGUGGGCUCAACUAUGGUCAACUCUCCCUGCUCCUCGAUAAUAGGAUCUCCCACAAGAUCUACUGGUGGUAUUACUGGAAUAAGUCUGUGACGCCCUCGUCCCGUACCACGGGUUGGUGCCCUCCCCUCGCCUCUACCUCGGCCUCGAAAAAAGGGGGGAGCAGCUCUGCCCGGGUCUCGAACAGUGGUCGUGCGUGUUCCCACCAUAUGUGAGAGAAUGGAAAAGGAAAAUUUAGUAUACCAACCACUGCACGAUAGGAAUGAAUAAAGAGUAGUUCUUCCUAAUACCCUAUAGCCUCUCGAAGAUAAAUACAGACGUCUCCGUACUGAUCUACAAGACUCAAUUAGGUUUUCCCAUAAGUUAUGAGACCUACAUGAACCUAGUGCUUUGAUACCAUGUCGUCAUGAACCAUUUACAUAAUAGGUCAUAAAUGGCGCCCAACACCAUUGCUGGGCAAGCCAUCGCUGAAAAUACUAACUAAACUUUCAUUUACCUCUUCCCCGAAAUAGUUGAAAUUAUUCUUUAAGUUGAAAUAAAAUCAGAAAUGAUUAAUAAAGUCAUGAUAAUCAUACCAUCCCAAAAUAAUACAGUCUACUAAUGUGUGUUUCGAGACUCGGUGUCACAAGUUGGGGGCAACUAUUAGAAUAUAUAAAAGAAUCACACUAUCCUACUAUCCAAAAUAGAAUAGACAACAAAAAUACAUAAGAAAGACUUCUUCAGGCUGCUGAAUGGCAUGGAAGGGAAGCAGCUCACCGUAGAAGUCCCGAGUCUGCUCAGGGAUGCGCACCAGACUGAUAGUCAGAUACACCUGCCUCAGAUCAUGUACAAUUAAGUACAGAAGUAUAGUAUGAGUACAUAAACAAUGUGUACCUAGAAAGUAUCCCGUCUAACCUCGAAGAAGUAGAGAUGAGAGGUCGACUUGAUACUUACUAGGGUUAAAUAAUGUGAGAAGAAUGUAUAAUUGGAAUGAAUAACACAAGUUAUUAUCAUUCAAUAAGCAUGGAAUAACAUCUCGCUCCAAAGUAUUAUCAUGGAUCUUUACCUAUACUUCAAGCAGAUACGAAAUUCAGCCCUCAAUGAAAUGCUAACCAAAACAUGCGCAAGUAACACUGUGGGACGUACGGCCCGAUCCAACAUAAAAGCAAAUUUGGCACUGCCGAAGGUCGAACGACUCAAACUAUAGAUGCAUCUAUUACCACGCCCGCGAAUCACCCGUGUGACGCGGUAAAAUAUAAAUAAGCUCACCAACUAGCAAACAAUAAUACGAGGAGUAGUUAUUCACAUGAAUACCCAAUAUUCUCCUUUAAAAGACCAAAACAGGAUAAGGUUCCAUCACUAAUCACAUUUACCUUAAUCAAAAUAGUUUAUACAAAUUCAAAUUUAUCAUCAAACUACAAGAAUAUCAUGUAGAGCACGCUUAUGGGUCCUAGACUACUCGAACAUAACAUAAUAGUCGCUAUGCACAGACUCUCCGCAUAUAAUGGCAAUUAAUUCUAUUAUUACACCUAUGGGGUCAAUUUCCUCUUACAAGGUUAGAAAGGAGACUCACCUCGUUCCAAAGUGCACUUCCAACACAAAGAACGAGUCUAGGCCCUUAAUUCGAAGCAAAACAAUCCCAAACUAGUUAAACGAAGUAAGAAUUAGUCAAUAUAGACUCACAAGAUCAAAUUCUAGCUAUUUAAGCAAAUUCCCCAAUAAUUAACACAAGUUUCCUAAAAUCAGACCCUGGGCCCACGUGCCCGGAUUCCCGAGAUUUUUCAAAUGAAGUUGUUCUCUACAUCCUAAGGAUCAAUAAUAUAUGAUUUUUAAUUUAUUGCAUAACAAAUUUUUUGGUUAAAUCUAACAUUUAUUAAAACCCUAGGUUUUUACUCUAACUCCAUGAUUACCCUUAAUACUAGUGUUUAAUCUACCUAAGACAUAAUUAUUUAACAAGAAAUAGGUAGAACACACUUACCUCAAAAUGCUAGGUGAAGUUCUUCUCUCAAAACUCUAAAACUGCCCAAUGGAGAAGUGAAAAUGUGAUAAAAAUGACAUAGAACCCGUAUUAAAUAAAGCUCACUGCUUCAGCGAUUUUCGCAUCUACGGUUAGGGGACCGCAUCUGCGAGGAAUGGACCGCAUCUACUAAACGGGCUUAAAGAGCUGGGACCGCUUCUGCGGUCUCGAGGUCGCAUCUGCAGAGCAGCUUCUUUGAUUCCUGGCCUGGCUGUCGUGGGUCGCUUCUGCGAUGAACGGACUGCUUCAGCGGUCUCGCACCUGCGGUCCACCAAUCGCAGGUGCGGUUAUAACAGAAGCUGCAAAUUUCAGCUCUUCUCAAAAAAUUCCACUCCACUCGAGCCUCGUCCGAUAGACACUCGAGGCUUCGGGCCCUGCCCGAACAUAUCGACAAGUCUAAAAUCACAUGACAGACCUAGUCGAACCUUCAGAACACCUGAAAUAAUACUAAAUCUAGAAAUCAUCCCUUAAAACCAAAUGAAUCUAACUUAUGAACUUCAAGUCCUCAAUUUUUUUCCAAUGGGCUAGAACGCCCUUAAACUACUCGGAUUGACACCAAAUUUUGCAGGCAAGUCUUAAAUGAUAUUUUCGACCUGUAUCGGGCUUCAGAAACAAUAUACGAGCCUGAUACCUAUGAAAUUAAUCAAUAACUAGUUUCUUUAAAUCCUUAAAACUUCAUAUUAAUAAUUUCUAAUGAAAAUUCAUAACUCAGGCUAGGAACCUCGGGAUUCGAUUCCAUGCAUAUAGGUCCCAUAUUUUUUCACAGACCAUACGGGACCGUCAAAUCACAAAUCCAGGUCUGUUUGCUCAAAAUAUUCACUAAGAUAAAACUUAGCUUUUUAAGAAAAUCCUAAGGAAUCGAAUGGUCAUAUGUCAUUCAAAACUCUUCCAAUCCCGAACCAAUUGUCCCUCCGCAAUUCCUAAAUUAGCUAAAGCAAGCACGGGAGUUUUAUUUAAGGCAACGGGUUCUAAAAAGUAAAACGACCGGUCGGGUCAUUACAUUCUCCACCUCUUUAACAAACAUUCGUUCUCUAAUAGACAUAGAAAAGUACCUAAGCUGCUGAAUAAAUGGGGGUAUCUACUCUGCAUGUCCUCCUCGGACUCCAAGGUCGCCUCCUCGACUGGUUGGCUUAAUGGACAUAGAAAAGUACCUAAGCUGCUGAAUAAAUGGGGCUAUCUACUCUGCAUGUCCUCCUCGGACUCCUAGGUCGCCUCCUUGACUGGUUGGCCCCUCCACUAGACCUUUACCACGGAAAUCCUCUUGGAUCUCAACAAGCGAUUCGAUCUACCAGUAAUAGCAACUGGCUCCUCCUCAUAUCCCAAGCUCUCAUCCAGCUGAAUAGUACUGAAGUUUAAUACAUGGGACAAGUCGGCAUGAUACUUCCGAAGCAUCGACACAUGAAAAACUGGAUGGACUCCCGAUAAGCUGGGGGUAAUGCAAGCUCAUAGGCAACCUCCCCAACCCUCCUCAACACCUCAAAGGGACUAAUAAACCAUAGGCUCAACUUGACCUUCUUCCCAAACCUCAUAAUGCCCUUUAUUGGCGAUAUUUCAAGAGAACCUUCUCGCCAACCAUGAAUGAUACAUCACGUAUCUUCUUAUACGUGUAACUCUUCUAUCUGGACUGAGCUGUACAAAGCCUCUCUUGGAUCAACUUGACCUUGUCCAAGGCAUCCUCUAUCAAAUUUGUACCAGAUAACUUAGCCUCGCUAGGAUCGAACCACCAGAUAGGAGAAUGACAACGGCGAACAUAUAAAGCAUCGUAUAGAGCCGUAUCUAUAUUGUAUUGAUAGUUGUUGUUAUAUACAAACUUCACCAAGGGAAAGAACUGAUCCCACUAACCUCCAAAGUCAAUCACAUAUGCCCUGGGCAUGUCCUCCAAAAUCUGAACUGUCCGCUCUGACUGCUCGUCGUUCUGAGGGUGGAAUGCUAUACUGAGCUCUACACGGGUCCCCAACUCACUCUGAACGGCUCUCCAAAAAUGGGAGGUGAACUGAGGGCCCUUAUCUAAUAUGAUAGAAACAGGCACACCGUGCAACCGAACUGUCUCGCGAAUGUAGAUCUAAGCAUACCUCUCUAGUGUAUAAGUAGUCGUCGCUGGAAUGAAGUGAGCCGACUUGGUAAAUCUAUCAAUAAUGACCCACACUGAAUCAAACUUCCGCAAAGUCCACGGCAACCCAACUACGAAAUCCAUGGUAAUGCGCUCCCACUUCCACUUUAGUAUAAGCAUCUGCUGAAGUGGGCCACCCGACCUCUGGUGUUCAUACUUGACAUGCUGACGAUUCAAACACUUCGCCGUAUACUCCACUAUGUCUUUCUUCAUCCUCCGCCAUCAAUAAUGUUGCCUCAAGUCACGAUACAUCUUUGUAGCUCCCGGGUGAAUAGAAUACCGUGAACUAUGUACCUCCUCUAGGAUCCUCUCCCUCAAACCAUCAACAUUCGAGAUACAUAGCCGACUCUGGAGUCGCAAAAAACCAUCCUCGCCAAUCGAAACCUCCUUGGCACCUCUUUGAAGCAUUGUCUCCCUAAGAACAGACAAAUGUGGAUAAUCGAGCUGCCAGGCUUUGAUCUGCCCCAUUAAUGAAGACUGAGCAACCACACACACAAAAACUCAGCUGCGCUCUGAAAUGUUCAACCUCACAAGCCUGUUAGCCAAGGACUGAAUGUCCAGAGCUAGUGGCCUCUCCGCUGAUGGAAUGAAAGCAGAGCUAGCCAUACUCUUCGCCUUUCGGCUCAAGGCAUCAACCAUAUUUGCCUUGCCCAAAUGAUAAAGAAUAGUGAUGUCAUAAUCCUUUAGUAACUCAAGCCACCUGCGUUGCCUCAAAUUAAGAUCCCUCUGCUUGAAUAAAUGUUGUAAGCUGCAAUAAUUAGUAUAAACCUCACAUGACACCCCUACAGAUCUCCAUAUCUUAAGAGCAUGAACAAUCGUGACCAACUCUAGAUCGUGCACAGGAUAAUUCUUCUCAUGAACCUUCAGCUAACGCGAAGCAUAUGCAAUAACUCGCACCUCCUGCAUCAAUACAUAACCCAAGCCAAUGCGUGAAACAUUGCAGUAUACCGUAUACAUCCCCGAGCCAGAAGGCAAUACAAGAAAUGGUGCUGUAGUCAAAGCUGUCUUGAGCUUUUGAAAGCUCUCCUCACAAUCAUCAGACCAACGGAAAGAGGCACCUUUCUGGGUCAAUCUAGUCAAAGGUGAUGCAAUAGAUGAAAAGCCCUACACGAAUCGCUUGUAAUAAACUUCUAGCCCUAGGAAACUCCUGAUCUCGGUCACUGGUUCACCUAUUUUUUAUUCGUAUUAAAUAUGUGUCCGGUCGGAUAAUUGAUCCGUUUUUUCAUUACCUAUUUUCGAUCCGAACCAUAUCCGACUGACCUGCCCAUUUACCACUCCUAAGUAGGAGUGUUCAAUAAUAUAAUCUCUAAUUUUAAGUAUUAAUUUAAAAUAAGUAAGUUAUUUUAGUAUAUACCAUAUUUUGCUAAGUGUAUUUUUGGUAUGAAGAAAAAACAAAACUGUGUCUACUUCGGGAAGAAACAAGUUUUUUGCACUUCUCUAAAACUACUUUCCAAAUGUAAAAUUGCCUCUGCUUUCGGGUAGAGGUAGGCAUCGGUCGAUUCGGUUCGAUUUUGAAUAUUAUCAGUUUUACCUAUCGGUUAUUGAUUUACAAUUAUCAUAACCCGAUAACCAAACGAUAAGAUAUUGAUUAUCGGUUAAUCAGUUAUCGAUUAUUAUCGGUUCGGUUAUCAAUUUACCUGAUAAGAUAAAAGUACUAAAACAAUUUUGUAAUAUAUAAAACUGCUGAGUUCUCAAUUAUCUUGAGCCAGAAGUCAAGAAAUAGAACAAUUAUCUGAUGCAUAAAUAUAGGAUUACAAAAGUGGACUGGAAUAUGAUUGUAUUACUAAUAAAACAUGGUCUUGUAUCCUUAAGAACAGUUAAACAGAAGUUUACUGCUUAGUAUUCUUAAUAUUCCAAAAGGAGAAGCACUUGUUAAAAUUAAUAGUGGAUAAUGAAAUAGCACCACAAUUAUAUAUUUUUUGUCAAAGCCCAUUUCAUUUAUCAUAAAAUAGAAUCUCCAAAAACGUUUAAAGACUAGACAAACGAUUAGAAUAAGAUCUCAAACAAUAGCAGCACACACACACAACUCAACCCCCAAGCCCACCCACCCCCCACCAAAAAAAAAAUACAGAGCCAGAAUGCUUUCAAACAAACUAAGAAAAAGAUGAAGAUGAAGCAACUAAAAACUUACACGCCGCCCUGAGUCUUGAGGGGCUGACUGGUGAGGGCGUGAUGCGACUGGCGAGUUAUGCCGGCCUAAAUCUUGACGAGAUGACUAGUGACUGGUGAGGGCGUAAGCUGUGAGGUAGAGAGCUGGUGAGGGCGUGAACCGUGGUGAGGUGGAAAACUAGUGAAUUUGGACCGUGGGGAUGUGACGGAAAAAUUGAGAAACUAAGAAAGAGAAACUGACUUAUUGAGAAUUGAGAAAGAAUAGGAAAAACCAAUUAUGAAACCCUAGUAUAGUAUAUAUAUACUUAAGGGUAAACAAGUAAAUUAGUUAAUUCUUAUUUGGGUUAUUAAUUUUUAUCCAAUAACAGAAUUACAAAUCGAGCCCGAACCCAUAACCCAAUUAAAAUUUUUUUAACCCAUUACCGAAUCGUUAAUCCAAUAACCUAAUACUGAUAACUCAAUAAAUAAUUAACGGUUAGCAUUAUUAAUUUUGCCAGACAUAUAUCCACACCUACUUUUAGGAAGAAGCUAUUUUUUUAUACUUCUCUAAUAUUGCUUUCCAAAAAUAUUUUAUCCCAAAAAAAACCUUGGCCAAACACCUGGUGUUUUUUGAGAAAAAAAAAAGUGGGGUUUCCAGUAUUCAAUUUCUCCAUUUUCAGCAGUAAAAAAGAAGCCUCUCAAAUUCCAAUGGCUCCCAAGCCUAAAGACAAACCCAAGGGUUCGCCGCGGACAGUUGACGCCGUUGGCAUCGAAGAUCUUUUCACAUCGCUCAAUCGCCACAUUCAACGAUCCGAGUAUGAACAAUCCGCCAAAGUGUCUGAUCACAGUCAGUUCAAUUUUUACUCGCAUUUAGCGAAUUCAAUGAAUUUGGCAAAUUUAUGACAUUUCCUUAGCUUCGUUUAAUGAAAUUUAAUUAAUUUUGCGAUUUUUACUCGCAUUACAACAUUUUCACUUAUUUAUUCUGCUAUUUUCUCAUGCAUCUGUGUUGGAUUGUGUAUACCGUCUUAAGUUCAAUAAAUUUAAUAAACUUAUGACUUUUCCUAAAGUUCGUUUAGUGAAAUUUAAUGAAUUUUCCAUCAAAGUUUUAUCAAAAUUAGCUCAAUUUUACUGCGAUACACAUUUUCACUUAUUUAUUCUGCUAUUUUCUCAUGCGUCUGUGUUGGAUUGUGUAUACCGUCUUAAGUUCAAUAAAUUUAAUAAACUUAUGACUUUUCCUAAAGUUCGUUUAGUGAAAUUUAAUGAAUUUUCCAUCAAAGUUUUAUCAAAAUUAGCUCAAUUUUACUGCGAUACACAUUUUCACUUAUUUAUUCUGCUAUUUUUCUCGUGCAUCCUCAUGAGAAUUUAUCUUGCAUUACACAUUUUUCAUUUUUUAUUCUGCUAUUUUUCUCAUGCUUCUGUAUCUGAUCGUGUAUACAGUCGUAAAUUAAAUAAAUUUAUGACCGUUCUCUGAAAUUUCGUUUAGUGAAAUUUAAUGAAAUUUUGCCAUCAAAAUUUCCGAUCAAAAUCAGUUCAAUUGCACAUGCAUCACACACGUGCAUUUCCAACAUUCUGGUUUUUUUCUUCAUUUAUGUGAGUUUGAUUGUGUAUAACGAUGAAUUGGUGACAUUUUCUGACGUUGAAGUUUUUUGGAUGAGCAAGCCGUUGAAGUUUCAAAUCAAUGUCAGUGCAAUUUCACUUGUAUUCACAUGUUCAUUUUGAAAUGGUGUUAUUUUUUCAUGUCUGUGUACUUUAUUGUGUAUACAAUGUUGAAUUUGAUGAAUUUGUGGAAUUUUUAAAGUUCCUUUGAUGAAAUUUUAUGAAUUUAGUUUUAUGUGAAUAAGCAGUCAAAUCUCACUUGCAUUUACAUUUUCAUUCUGAAUUCUGCUAUCUGUUGAUAUAUGUAGGUUUUAAGCGUGUGUAAGUAUUUAAUUCGGUGACAUCGUGACACUCUCUGAGUUUAUGUGAUGAAAUAUGAUGAAUUUUGUUUAUAUGAACAAGCAGUCCAAGUCUUUGAUUAUAACUAGUUCAAUUUCUUAUACUUAACAUGUUCAUUUCCGAGUUGUGUCAUUUGUUUGCUUGAUUGUGCAUACCAUCUUGAAUAAAAAGAAUUUGUGAACUUCGUUUGAUGAAAAUUUAUGAAUUUUGUUUUGAAGUUCUUGCUGUUGCGCCUGGAGAUGAGGGCGCAAUUCGCUAUAAAGUGGUGGAGAUGAAUCGUCACUUGCUGUGGCAGUAAAUGACCUCAUCGCUUUGAAGGUCCUAAAGAUGUAUCUGAUGGCCUAAGGAAACUUGAUAAGCUAGUAGAGACAUUAAUCAAAGCUGAUAGUGUUGAAGAAGCGCUAGUUGCUAUUCAGGAGUCCAAAAAAGCUGAUAUUGAUCUUAGCUUUUUCAAGGUAAUUUAUACUUUAUAAGAAACUUUCCAGAUAAAUAUUUACCAUUGAACUCUGCCUAACAUAGCUGGUGCCGACUUCGGAUAAAUGAGAAGGGUUGUUGCAGGUUGAAGUCUAACUAUCAUGGAUCCUAAUUUUACGGGCCUGGAUAGAGGGGAAUGGAUACGUAGACUUUUAAUAGAAAAACCUAACUAAUUCGUGAUCGAAGUGUUGUUGUAACUUCAGUUUAGAGAGCAAUUACUCGAGUUCCCUAACUUGUAAAUUUCACCUGAAGGGAACUUUAAUAUUUGGAUUAUCUGAGAUACUUUAGUGAUCCUAGUCCCAUUUUUUUCUGCUGUGACAUAAAUAUCUGCUAAUAUCAGUUCCAAAACAUUUCGUUUUACAUGAAUAUGGUGUAGCCUUGUAGGUAGAUGCAACUUUCUUUGUACUGUAAAGCUUUAGAAGCUGAUCAGAAAUGAAAAUAAUUGAGUGAGAAAGGCUUAAAAUGGUUAAUCAGCAGAUCAGGUGAUCAAUGACAACCAAGAAAGAGGAUUCUAUUACAUAUCUGGUAAGAGCUUUUAGCUUUAUAAAUUGACAUUGCUCUCUUUCAUAUAAGGCCAAACUAAUUAAAGGUAAAAGUAUUUGAAUGACGUUUCUCUAUUAGAGAAAGACAUACCAUACAUAUAGAAGAGUGCUCUGGUAUAUUAAUAUAUUACUACUUUCAUACUAGGACGCAAUCACUCAUACCCUCAUUGGCUGUGUAAUGUCUAUGGAUAUAUUGCUUUAUGGAAGGGUCAAUAUCCAUAUAAAACAGUGUUGGUUAUUUCACUAUUACACCAGAUAAUGCGCCUAGGAUCCAGAUGCGUUACCUACUUAUUCUCUCCAUCCCCCCAAAAAGGAUCUAGAGUCGCUAUGACUGAACUUUUGGAUAUCGCAGCAGUUGGAUUAUUUGGCGAAGAAUUUUAAGUUCUUGAUGACUUCACUAAAAUCCUUAUAAAAAUUACUUUCUGAAAUAUCUGGUUUCUCAGUGCUUCGCUAUGAAUUUUGUUGUAAGGAGAUUUAGCAAUAUGAUUUUGUUGUUCACCAUUACUGCAUUCCCCUAUGCUUACCAGGAAAAGAGUUUAUUUUUCUUCAGCAAUGGAAGUUAUCUCUUAUGUUCCUUUUCAUUGUGAUGUUGCUCUUUCGAAGGCCUAUUGCUUAUACAGGCAAAAUAAACUGGAUCAAGCGUUGGGGUCCUUAAAGGGGCAAGAAGGAAAUACUGCAUCAAUGCUGUUGGAAUCUCAGUUUUUAUAUCGUUUGGGAAAGAUGGAAGCUUCUGUGGAUAUAUAUCAAAAGCUCCAAAAGUCCCAGAUAGACUCCUUAGAAAUUAAUCUUGUUGCUGGAUUGGUUUCUGCUGGAAGAGCUUCUGAUGUGCAGGGAACUCUGGACUCCAUCAGAUUUAAAGCAACUAGUAGUUUUGAAUUGGCAUAUAACACCGCCUGCUCUUUAAUUGAGAGGCAGAAGUACAAGGAUGCUGAGCAACUGCUAUUGUCAGCUCGAAGGUUUGAAGCUUAUAGUUUACAAGGUCGUGAGCAACCCCCACUUCCAACCGAGAGGUUGUGAGUUCGAGUCUUCCCAAGAGCAAGGUGGUACGUAGGAGAUUUUUGAAACUUAUAGUUUACAAGGUCAUAUAUGUCACCAGCAUGGUAUUUAAGGAUUAGUCAAUUUGUUAAGUAUUGUAUUUAGUAUGAGAUUCUUGUGACAAACUUGAUUUGGAACUGUUACGAGUAAUUCAACAUCAAGAAGUGUUGAAUCAGCAGAGAACAUGUUCCUUUAAGCUGAUUAAUAUAACCCAAGCAACACACUGUGCUGCUGAAGGGCAAUUACCUUGAAUCUAGGAUCUACACUGUGCCUAGUACCACAAGUCUGAAACAAAUAUUAAUAACCGUGAUAAGAGAUUGCCUAUUCUGUUUCCAUGUAAUGCUUGUCUGUGCUGUAUUGACUGUAGGGUUUGGAACUUCCAGUUCUUAAUAUGUGCUUGGACACAGAGGAGAUAACUUGCUAAUUUUGCUGGUGAAAUAACAGAAUUGGUCAGGAAACACUAAUGGAGGAGAAUUUAGCUGAUGAUGAGGUUGAAAUCGAAUUGGCGCCCAUUGCUGUUCAACUUGCAUAUGUUCAACAGGUAAAAUUAUUUUAUAACACGACUUCAACUUUUCUCUUUGCCUUGAUGUGUUGCAAAUACAUGAAUAUCUAUCUGUUAUUCCAGAUUCUAGGAAACACACAAGAAGCUGUUGCAUCUUAUACCAACCUCGUGAAAAGAAAUUUGGCAGAUGAAUCGUCACUUGCUGUGGCAGUAAAUGACCUCAUCGCUUUGAAAGGUCCUAAAGAUGUAUCUGAUGGCCUAAGGAAACUUGAUAAGCUAGUAGAGAAAAGUGAUGGACCACAAAAGUUCCAGCUUGCUCGUGGACUGGACUUGAAGCUUUCUCAAAAGCAAAGGGAAGCUGAAGCUAUAUACACCAAUAGGAUGCUACUGCUACUUCAUUCUAAUAAGAUGGAUCAGGUAAAUAAUCUGAAACCUAAGGCAAAAAAGAAGACUCCGAGCUACGGCUGGUUAUUGUGAGUUCUUCUUUAGAUGCUUAAUUUUAGUUCAUGGAUUAUUACAGGCUCGAGAACUUGUUGCAGUUUUCUGGAAUUAUUCCUGGUAACUUGAUGCCAGUUCUUCAAGCUGCUGUGCAUGUGCGAGAAAAUAAAGCUGGCAAAGCUGAAGAAAUACUAGGACAUUUUGCAGAUAAGUUUCCUGACAAGUGCAAAGUCAUCCUACUUGCAAGGGCACAGAUUGCUGCCGCUGCUGGCCACCCUCAGAUUGCAGCUGACUCUCUGGCAAAAAUUCCUGGCAUUAAACACUUGUAAGUAUAUAAAAUAUUAAUUUAAACACUUGUAAGUAUAUAAAAUAUGAACAAAUGAAAAGAUGUUACUUACAAAACCAGCUUUUUAUUUAAAAGGAGAAGGCAAGGCUGGAAGAUUACAAGAUUCAGAGGUAAAGAGAAUUUUAGAGAGACUAAAAUUGCGACUGAACUCCAAUAAUACAAGUGAGAGUCUUUUAUAGACCUCAGAUAAAGUAAAAGCAUCUUGUGCUUACACGUGGACGGCUAUUAUUUUGCCGACAAAGUAGUGGAUCCCUAUUGAUUAAGACUAGACUCGUACAUCAAAGAUUCCAUAAGAGUGGAAGGCAUACUUUUUGACUUAUUACUCAUGCUUAUCUUUUCUUUAAUAAAGUAAGCGUAUACAAGACAAAAUUGGGCAUUCCCACUAUAAUUAAUUUAAGAGAAGGCCAUGUGGGCCAUGUGCUUGGCCCUACUCGGAUUCCUUUUAGAAAUAGUAAAACGUCCUGUGAAGAAAAGUAAUUCCGGUUCUUUGAACCUCUACUUUUCUUCAAGGGCCAGAAUUCCUAUUCGUAAUAGGUAUCCAGGUAAGCCUGUGCUAUGCCUUUAGGACAACACAUAUCAUCAUUACUUGAUUUGGUUGAGGAGGCGGCUUCUUCAAUGAGCUGCAGCAAAGUGGAUUCAUCCUGAUGUUCGAUAUCUUGAAGGGCUUGUUGAAGCUUCUUCUUGAUCUCGGCUUUGGAUAACUUUGACAAAGAGGCUGAGCAGUAGCUUUCUCCUUCUUCUGCGUAUGAGUUUUGGGUUUUGGAACCCAUCCUUUAACCUUUAUCUCUUUGGAUAGAUACCUGAUACGGUCAAAUUCUGCGAUCUUAAAGUCCCAGCUGAUAAUAUAAGUUUCGGAACCCAACCUUUAACCUUUAUCUCUUUGGAUAGGUACCUGAUACGGUCAAAUUCUGCGAUCUUAAUGUCCCAGCUGAUAAUAUACGAUAUCCUUUUUUGGACAUAAUAUUUACACAUUUUAAUAUGAGUAGGCAACGUAGUGAUCUCCUGCUUGGUUUGGAACUCGUCAAACUUUUGCAGAAAAUGUUGAGGGAGGUUUUCCAAUUUUCCUCCGAAAGUUUUCCACCAAUCGUAAAACCACCUAGGAAUAGUGGCCUUUACUAGCUCAGGGCUAUAUUUAACAAACCAAGUGUGACUCGGCCUGAGGUACAUGAAAUUGUACCAUGCUUGCUUGUAGAUGUACCAGUUAUAUGUCUGAGGCUUGUGACUCAUGCUCAGAGGUAUAGGAGUGAGUAGAUGGUCCACAUGCCAUUCAAAUGGGGAGAGGAUCUUCUUAAUGUUGAAUUGGGAAUAUAGGAUAAAAGCUGAAUUUCUUUCAGAUUAAACAUGUUCGAUUUCUAUGGAAUCGGUAUCAACUUGAAUUGCCUCAAAAUAAAGGCGAGUGUGUAAAGAAUCAGGACUAUCUACGUAGUUUGAAUUGUUGUAACAAGGUUUUACUAAAUCUUGAACCCUACCAGUUUCGAAUUCUUUAUCGAGGGCCAAAAUAGGGAAAACUCUACUGGUUAGGUACACGAAAGGCUCUUGUGCCUGAGAGGAAGGACUCCAACCUUUGGGUCCACAGCCUGGGCGAAGGACUCAAGGGUCAUCAUCGGUGGUUAGGUACUCGAAAGGCUCUUGUGCCUGAGAGGAAGGACUUUGGACCUUUGGGUCCACAGCCUGGGCGAAGGACUCAGGGGUCUUCAUCUCGUAACUUUGUUUACUUUGGACCUUGGAAGUAGAUCCAGACGUGGAUUCAGGUUGUGGGCCUGUAAGUUUGGGGAUAUCUCCAAGGACAGUAAAUUUGUUUUGAGAUGCGCUUUGGGCCGGACUAGGUAAAGGCGGGAAAGAAGGCCUUAGCUGGCCUAGGCCUGUAGGGACGAAAGGUCUAGCGGACGAAAGCUGCCUUUCGGGUUUAACAUUUUUGAACGGGGAGUUAGUCUUGGCUGGCCUCAUGACCCUGAAGAAAGGACGAAAGCUGCCUUUCGGGUUUAACAUUUUUGAACGGGGAGUUAGUCUUGGCUGGCCUCGUGACCCUGAAGAAAUUCACGGGUUAGAAAAUCAGGAAGAGAAUUACUUUCUCCUUUAAUGAACUCAAUUUUACUUUCUCCUUUAAUGAACUCAAUUUUAAAAUCAAAGCUAGAUAGUAGAGCUUGCCAUCUAGCAAAUAUUUGUUUUGAAACAAGAUUUUUUGCUUCUUUUUGUGAAAUUUCCUUUGCAGAUUUGCAAUCAACUCGGAGUAAAACAUCUUUGUUUACUAAAUCAUCUUGAAAUUUAGUAAUACAUAGUACUAUAGACAAAACUUCAUUUUUGACUGUACUAUAAUUUUUCUGGGUAGAAUUCCAGACACCAGAAGUAAACCUCACAAGUUGCUCACAACUAUCCGGGUUGACGCGCUGUUUAAGGAUGCCUCCAUAUCCUAUAUCAGAAGCAUCUGUUUCUACUAUCAUAAAUGCAAAAUUUAGUAAUACAUAGUACUAUAGACAAAACUUCAUUUUUGACUGUACUAUAAUUUUUCUGGGUAGAAUUCCAGACACCAGAAGUAAACCUCACAAGUUGCUCACAACUAUCCGGGUUGACGCGCUGUUUAAGGAUGCCUCCAUAUCCUAUAUCAGAAGCAUCUGUUUUUACUAUCAUAAAUGCAUCAGGAUUAGGUAUCCCUAAAUAAGGAAGAUUUUGAACUAAUCUCUUAAUUUUUUGGACACUCUGGGUCUGUUCUUCUCCCCAAGCUUCCUAAUAAGCUCUGAAGCUGAGUUUUAUCCUUAAUUUCAUCAGGGAAUUUAGAAGAGAAUUCUAUGGCUCUACAAAUAGGCCUAUGGGUUCCUUGAUAAAGAUCAUGACCUAAGAAUCUAAUCGAGGUUUCAAAGAGCUUAAUUUUCUUAGCACUAACAACCAAGCCAUUGUUUUUUACAACAUUAAAGAAAGUAUUGAGAUGCUUAAAAUGAGAAUCAAUGUCCUCAGAAAAAUCAACACAUCAUCAAUAUAAACUAUUGACAUAUAAGAAUACGGAUUAAAUAUGUUAUUCAUAAUAUUUUGAAAUUCAGAAGGCGCAUUUUUAACCCAGAUGGCAUACCAUUCCAUUCGUAAUGCCCAAAAGGAACAUUGAAUGCAGUCUUAUACCGAUCUUCAUUCUUAUUUUGGAUUUGCUAGAAUCCAGACUUCAUUCGAACUUACUAUAAAGGUUUGCUUUAUAAGUUAGUUUAAGAAGAUCUCUUUUGUUGGGGAUUGGAUGGCGGAUCCAUUUGAGGACAGAGUUCAGGGNNUCUGUGAGCCAUUAUACCAUAGGCUUAGAAAAAACCCAGCACCUUGGGGAGAAGAACAGACCCAGAGUGUCCAAAAAAUUAAGAGAUUAGUUCAAAAUCUUCCUUGUCUAGGGAUACCUAAUCCUGAUGCAUUUAUGAUAGUAGAAACUGAUGCUUCUGAUGUAGGAUAUGGAGGCAUCCUUAAACAGCGCGUCAACCUGGACAGUUGUGAGCAACUUGUGAGGUUUACUUCUGGUAUUUGGAAUUCUACCCAGAAAAAUUACAGUACAGUCAAAAAGGAAGUUUUGUCUAUAGUACUAUGUAUUACUAAAUUUCAAGAUGAUUUAGUAAACAAAGAAUUUUUACUCCGAGUUGAUUGUAAAUCUGCAAAGGAAAUUUUACAGAAAGAUGUAAAAAUCUUGUUUCAAAACAAAUAUUUGCUAGAUGGCAAGCUCUACUAUCUAGCUUUGAUUUUAAAAUUGAAUUCUUUAAGGAGAAAGUAAUUCUCUUCCUUAUUUUCUAACCCGUGAAUUUCUUCAGGGUCUUGAGGCCAACCAAGACUAACUCCCCAAAAAUGUUAAACCCGAAAGGCAGCUUUCAUCCGCUAGACCUUUCGUCCCUACAGGCCUAGCCCAGCUAAGGCCUUCUUUCCCGCCUUUACCUAGUCCGGCCCAAAGCCCAUCUCAAAACAAAUUUACUGUCCUUGGAGAUAUCCCCAAACUUACAAGCCCAAAACCUGAAUCCUCGUCUGGAUCUACUUCCAAGGUCCAAAGUAAACAGAGUUACGAGAUGAAGACCUCUGAGUCCUUCGCCCAGGCUGUGGACCCAAAGGUCCAAAGUCCUUCCUCUCAGGCACAAGAGCCUUUCGAGUACCUAACCACUAGAGUUUUUUCCUAUUUUGGCCCUCGAUAAAGAAUUCAAAACUGGUAAGGUUCAAGAUUUAGUAAAACCUUGUUACAACAAUUCAAACUAGGUAGAUAGUCAUGAGUCUUUACACACUCGCCUUUAUUUUGAGGCAAUUCUAGUUGAUACCGAUUCCAUAGAAAUCGAACAUGUUUAUUCUGAAAGAAAUUCAGAUUUUAUCCUAUAUUCCCAAUUCACCAUUAAGAAGAUCCUCGGCCCGUUUGAAUGGCAUGUGGAUCAUCUACUCACUCCUGUACCUCUAAGCAUGAGUCACAAGCCUCAGACAUAUAACUGGUACAUCUACAAGCAAGCAUGGUACAAUUUCAUGUAUCUCAGGCCGAGUCACACUUGGUUUGUUAAAACCAAGCAGGAGAUCACUACGUUGUCUACUCAUAUUAAAAUGUGUAAAUAUUAUGUCCAAAAAAGGAUAUCGUAUAUUAUCAGCUGGGACUUUAAGAUCACAGAAUUUGACCGUAUCAGGUACCUAUACAAAGAGAUAAAGGUUAAAGGUUGGGUUUCAAAACCCAAAACUCCUACUCCAAAGAAGGAGAAAGCUACUGCUCAGUCCUCUUUGUCAAAGUCAUCCAAAGCCGAGAUCAAGAAGAAGCUUCAACAAGCCCUUCAAGCUAUCGAACAUCAGGAUGAAGCCACUUUGCUGCAGCUCAUUGAAGAAGCCGCCUCCUCAACAGAAUCAAGUAAUGAUGAUAUGUGUUGUCCUAAAGGCAUAGCACAGGCUUACCUGGAUACCUAUUACGAAUAGGAAUUCUGAUCCUUCAAGAAAAGUAGAGGUUCAAAGAACCGGAAUUACUUUUCUUCAAAGGACGUUUUACUAUUCCUAAAAGGAAUUCGAGUAGGGCCAAGCACAUGGCCUUGUAUUAAAUUAGUUAUAGUGGGAAUGACCACUUUUGUCUUGUAUACCCUUACUUUAUUAAAGAAAAGAUAAGCAUGAGUAAUAAGUCAAAAUGAUGCCUUCCACUCAGAUGGAAUCUUUGCUGUACGUGUCUAGUCUUAAUCAAUAGGGACCCACUACUUUGUCGGCAAAAUAAUAGUCGUCCACCUGUAAGCACAAGAUGCUUUUACUUUAUCAGAGGUCUAUAAAAGACUCUCACUUGUAUUGUUGGAGGUCAGUCGCAAUUUUAGUCUCUAAAAUUCUCUUUACCUCUGAAUCUUGUAAUCUUCCAGCCUUGCCUUCUCCUUUUAAAUAAAAAGCUGGUUUUGUAAGUAACAUCUUUUCAUUUGUUCAUAUUUUACAUACUUACAAGUGUUUAAAUUAAUAUUUUAUAUACUUACAAGUGUUUAAAUUUCGGUCAUGUCAUCUUUUAAUAUAGUUCAAGUUUCUAGCAAUCAAGUGCCCACCUUGAGAACAAUGGAAUACAAUUUAAUUUUUUGGAAAUCAGGCGCCCACCUGGAGAACAAGUAAUAUAGUUCAAGUUUUUGGCAAUCAGGCGCUCACCUGAAGAACAAGGGAAUAUAGUUCAAGUUCUUGGCAGUCAGGCGCCCACCUGGAGAACAAGGGAAUACUAUUCAAAUUUUUGGAAAUCAGGUUCCCACAUGGAGAAUAAGAAAAUACAGUUCAAGUUUUUGGCAAUCAAGCUCCCACCUGGAGAACAAGGGAAUACAGUUCAAAUUUUUGGCAAUCAGGUGUCCACUUGGAGAACAAGGGAAUAUAACUCAAGUUUCGAAAAUCAGGCGUCCACCUUGAAAAUAAGGGAAUACAGUUCAAGUGUUUGGAAAUCAAGCGCCCACCUGAAGAAUAAAGGAAUAUAGUUCAAGUUUUGGUAAUCAGGAGCUCACUUGGAGAACAAAGAAAUUUAAGUGUCGGUAAUCAGGAGCUCACUUGAAGAAUAAAGCAGCAGUUCAAUUUUCGAGGAAAAGCAACAGAUGUGUUGGUAAUUAGGAGCCCACCUGAAUAACGAGGGGAAAUCAUCAAUGUUCGUUUCGAGGAAAAGCAACGGAUGUGUUGGUAAUUAGGAGCCCACCUGAAUAACGAGGGAAAAUUAUCAAUGUUCGGAGGAAGACGGUUCAAGUUCAGCAAUCAUGCGCCCACCUAAAGAAAAGGGAAAGCAUCUCAGAGUAUAGUUCAAGUUGGCAACAAAGGAACUUCACCUGGAAAAUACAAAACAACAAGGCAACAGGAAUCACUAGACUAAGUUUGAGGAUGUAGAUAGGAUUUUUGUAAUGCAUAGAUUGGAGUUUAGUCUAGCUUCUUUUUAUUUUGUCAUUGUGUAAUAAGGAGUUCAGUAAGCAGUAGUAGCAGCAGCAACAACAAUGAAAUCAUAGCUUUAUAGUAGUCUCAGCUACCGAAACUUCCCCAUAACUUGGUUUCGUAAUUGCCAAGGAUAUGUAGGCAACCUCGGGAACAAGGCGCAAUCAAAUAUUUCAAAAAUACUUUCCACGGAGUAUUCAAACAGGCAAAUCGCUCGUAUCCGCUCUCUUUAUCUUUGCAUGAAAACUCUUUGUAUUUUCGCGCAAAGAGGGGCAGCUGUGAGCAUAUGAUUGUUGCCCUAUAUGAAUUACUCCCACAAAUUUAAAAUAAAAUAAUUUUUCCAUUGUUUGCAAUUUCGAGGAUUUUUGUAGCAUAUUUUGUUAUUGUUUUCAUUUGUCAUUGCAUGUUUAUUUCAUUUGUUAAUGAAAAAUACAAAAAUUUAUUGAAUUUGCAUUUAGAAUUUAAUCCAACAUUUUGGGAUUAAUGUCAC